CUUAAUAAUCUUAACUUUUAUAAGCCACCAAAUGAACACAGUAAUUGCAUGAAUAAUGGAGCCGAACUUAUCCCGCACGCCACCAUGCAUGAAAUGAAGUCAUCGAGCAUUUAUUGAAUCUUGACUCUUUGCUAUAAAAGUGUGGUAGAAUGGCCAUUUAGCGUGAAAGGUAAAGAAAGUGGACUAAAGACUAAAGAGCUUGUUGUAAAAUGAGAUCCAGCUGUGUUACGACGGUUGCACCAUGCCACACUUGUCGUCAACCAUUUAGCGUAAAUGUGUCUUCACCUUAACAUGAAACACAUGUAAAGAAAUUCAAAUGGAAACAGUUUCAGUCAUCGCAUCACUACAGUAAAUUAAACGGGGAUGUGAAUUUGGAAGGAAAAUUCAUUACAUGACUAGGUCGGCUAUGGGGACAAAAGUUUCACCUUCACACACGUGUUAGGCCUCCAACUUCCGUUGGAAAAUUUGCAAAACAAUUUCCUUGAAUUUUACCCUUUCCCAUAAUUUCAAUAUUACUUUUUAAUUGCUCUACCAAAAAAAAACAAUUAACAAGUUGCUUUGAGGUCCCACUUCUGAAAAUGGAGUAAACCCCGAGUCAAUCGUGGAAUUACAAAACCAAAAAUAGCAUGCAUAAGUUAACUAUUUUCUGAACAAAAAUAUCAGGUUAUAAAAUUUAAUAAAAAUAAUGGUACAAUUCAAAAUUAUUAUUAUUAUUAUUAUUAUUAUUAUUAUUAUUAUUAUUUUCUUUUACAUGAGUUAGACGGAUUUUUUAUGAUUAAUUCAAUCCAACUCAAUUAUUAGAUUGAGUUAAAAAAAAUUGACUAAAUUAACAUAGAAAAACUCACUUAACCCGUAAAAGUUAAAUUGAAUUUGAUUAGACUGGAUUCAAUCCAUUUUGUUGGAUUGGAUUUUCACUUACCCCUAGCUUUGGGCGUAGGGGGUUUUGGAUAAUGGCAGAGGCUAGGAUUUGGGUUCUACUCGACCAGUAAGGUUUCGGUUUUUAUGAUUCCUGUCUGACUACGAAUGCGGUGCGGCGAAUGAAACGACAGCGAAUCGACGGCGAGUGAUGGCAAUGGCGGACCUACAGCUGGGCUAGACCGGGCUGUAGCCCGGUCUAGUCCAGAAAAAAUCAUUUAAACCCCUUGUCUUUAGAUUAAUUCUAUAUAAGAAUAGAGUUUUUACUUUAUUUUUAUAUAAGUCCUUAAUUCAGUUGCUUUUAUGUUUUCAUCAAAUUUCAUAAAACAAUAGAGUUUUUACUUUAUUUUUAAAUGUAUCCCUAAUUCAAUUAUAUUUUUUUAUUAGUGGCUUAUUUUAUAAAAUGAUUAAAUUAUAUACUUAUUGAAUAGAAUGAAAACAUUAGGGGUCGAAAAUGUUAUUACUACUUUAAUUUGUUUUUAAAAUUUUAAUUUAAAAAAGUAUGUCAAUGUAAUAUCACAUUGUCACUAGUGUUAAAAAUACUAAAAAGAUAUAUAAUAAAAAUUAUUAACAAUUUCAUAAAAUUUUAUGCGAAUGUUGAGAUUUUAUUUAUUAGUUACAUUAACUAAGAGGAUAAGUUAGAAAACAAAAUUUGAGUAUUUUGAUCUGAUUUUUUAAAGUGAGUCAGAGUGUCUGGCAAAUAAAUAAUGGCACACAAAUACCUUUUUACUACGUUAGAGUUUAGUUUAUUAUUGAAACUCUUGACAACUAAUAUUUUUAUAAUUUAAAAAGAUGAAUAAAUUUUAAUUGUUUAAUUUAUUUAAGCUUGGUAAUUAAGUACUUUUCAAACAUAAAGUUCUAUUUGCAAUAUUUUAAUUGAUUAUAAUUACAUGUAUUGAUUUAUUCAAACUUGAAAUUCUUAAUUGAUUUAUUAAUUCUUAUAUAAUUAGAUGUUAAUAUAUGUUGCAAUGUUAUAUUCCAUAAUUAAAAAAUAGUAUUUUUAUAUUUGAAUUAUCUUUUGUUUUCUAUUCUUUUUGUAUACUUAUUUUUAUUUAAAGUACAUAUUUAUAGGGUUUUUUGUAUCCCCUUAUUUGAUGUACUUUUUUUUACUUAUAAAUGUUUAUGUUCACUCCAAAAUAUAAAAUUUUAAAUUUAGCCCAAGGUAAUAUAAAGUUCUGGGUCCGCCCCUGAGUGAUGGUCAGCACGGGAGGGCAGCGUUUGAGAGAGAGACGUGAGAAUGAGUGACAGACAAUUAGAAAAAAAAAGUAUUCAGGGUUGUUUUGUUGCAUCAUUCAAUAGGCCAUGAAAUGGCGUCGUUUAAUUUUCCUUAAAAAAAAAGUUAUAUUUUCUUUAAUUAUUCAGUCAGUGAAAAUACUGGUCAAAUUCAAAGUUAAAAUAAAAUUCUAUCUUCACCGCGUAAAGACAAAUUUUACAUCACUGGUAAAUCAUAAAUGUUUAACAGCCACAAAAUCGAUCACAGUUAUAAUAUGAACACUCUUCUUCCUCCAAAUUGCUUUCUGUCUUCUCUCUCGGCUUCCAUGCGGCUGCCGAAUAGGUGGCCUUUUAUAAUAUUGCUAACCGCUUCUUUUUGUCAAUCACUACGCCAAAAGGAUUUCUAAUUAAAAACAAACUAAAACCUUUGGGAAAAUUUACGAAAAUAACCAUAAAAGUUUUACUAUUUUCACAAUUAAUCCUCUCAAUUUUUUUCUAUCAACAUUAGCCAAACACACGCUUUUCUCCCCAAAUUACCCUUCUUUACAAACCAAAAGCAACUUUCUUUCUCCCCUUUCGUCAAACCAAAGGCAGCUUUCCACUCUUGAAUCAUCAACCAACGGCGACGGCAAAAGGCAACGAUAAAAGUGAAAUCCGAUCAUAAUAUAUCCGGAUCCAACACUAAUCAGCAUCACAUAGUGGUAUGAGUUAUUUUCUCAACUUGCUCGAGAGUUUUAGUCAGAUGCGAGUCGUGGAUAAAUCUGGCGACAGGUUGCCUGUCGCACUAAGAGGCAAAUUCAUUGCAACUGUAUUAAAUUGAUAGGGCUCAAAUAAUUUAUUUAUUUUUAUAAUUUCAGGCUUAAUGGAUUCAGUUAUACUUGAAUUGUGUUACGAUGGUUGGUGGGAGACAUUAGAGGAUGGCCGUAUGGAGUAUGUGAAUGGUAAAAAUAGAGCUUUUUUUGUUGGAAAAAAUUGUCUGUUUGAUCAGUUAUUAGCAAGAGUAUACGAGGUGUUACAAAUAAACCCCAAUGAAUAUAGUAUCACAAUGAAAACAACUUUGAAAUCUAGUAACACAUUAUAUCGUAUAUGUGCACUGCCCAUUGAUAUAUUUGAUGAUGAAAUGGUGAGGGUUGUGUUGCAUAUGGCAUCCAAUGUAGCCAAUUUUGGAUGCAUUCCUAUAUUCGUGACCACAUCACCUCGAGUUCCGAGCGAAGGUAUUGAGCCACAUGUCGAUACAGAAACUUCGUUUAGAGAAAAUAUGUCUGGCCCCGAUAAUGAAGAAGAGGUGUUGCCAAGGACAAUAUCGCUGCAGCAAUAUUAUUCUCCAAUCCACAACAAUUAUGACAACAUUGAUGAUAACGACAUUACGUUACAGGAUGUUGGAGCAACGAUAUUUCUAAUAACGACGUCGUUGGACCAACGGUAUUCUUCGUAUCACAACCAUGAUUUUUGGGACAAUGAUGAUCUUCAUGAUGAGAUAGAGAGGGAUAAUGUUUGUGCAGAACCUUCUAAUAGUAUGUGGGGCACUCAUUUCAAUAAUGAUGGUGAUUAUGGAGGAGCCGGUCCUUCGAAUAUUCCGUCGUUUCAGCAUGAGGAUGAGUGUGAAGACAAUACUCCUGUGAAUAACAGAGGCAAUAGACUUAUUCCUCCUAUGGUUCGAUCGAGAAGGAGAAUUGACCCCCUCACAAGUCUUGCUCCAACUUUGCCUUCGAACAUGGUUGCUCCAAGCUUUGUUAGCAGUUGUGACUCAGAUGAUAUUAGUGUAGGUAAGCUAUUUGCUGAGAAAAUUUGCUCAUGUAGAGUGUUUCAGCUUGAUCAGCUUGAUCAGCUCAUGCAAUUGCGGGGUGUCUAACACACCAGGUAGAUUUUAUUAGGCUUUGCUCGGACUUUUACACUACAGAAUGGUUGGCGAUGGCUUAUGCACAACCAGUGGAGCCAGUUGGCGAUGUGGCUGAUUGGGAAGUUCCAAAUGAAAUUAAGGAGAUGCAAGUAUACCCACCAGUUGAGGCACCACCACCUGACCAUCGUAAAGAGCUCCAAAUACCCUCGGCUGGCGAGGACGUUAACUGGCGGAUUGUACGCUGCGGGCGGUGUCAUGAACUGGGCCAUAAUCGUAAGCAAUGUAAGAAUCUCAUUGCGUCAACUCGAAGUUAGUUGUAUUGUUUCAAUAAUUCGUUGGUUAAAAUUGUUAUUGUUUUUUUGUGUAUUGUACACUUAUAUGUCAUGAAAUUUGAUCUUGCGAUGCACACCACCAAAAUACGUAUUCCGUAGCCUAUGCACUGUUUUGUUAUCUCUUAGUUCAGUAUCAAUACCAUAUGAAAGUCCAGUAACCAAGCACCAUUCUACAAUUGACAAGCGAAUCAAAUGCUCACCAAUUUGAAACCAUAACUGAUUCUCACGGCUAUCUUCUUCAUGGGCCACUUGCCUCAAUAAAAGAUUGUGCAAAAUUACUCCACUAAAUGGAAAACUUCGACACUCCAAGAAAUGCCCAAAUAUAUCAUUCUUGAACAUAUUCAACUGCCGCUUUGUUAAUUUUUCGUCGAUGGUUUUUACGACCGAAGAUAAAUUACACAUGCUCAAAAUUCGUCACGGAAAGUGAUCGGCAUAACAAAAAUACAUCUUGCCUACUUUGAUAUCAAACGAUUCUGAUUUCGCCAUGUAUCUGUAAUAUUUAUAACAUUAUUACAUUGCAUUUACAACAAAAAUAAAUAAAUUCACUUGAAAAUAAAGUAAAAAAAAUUAUUGUAAUUUGGUGUGACAGCCGCCUGUCGCACCAAUUUUUAGUGCGACAGCACGGCGCACGCGCGCGCGCGUGCCCUCACACCCAAAACAAAUCCCCAAAUCAACAUACUCCCAAAACAACCACCACAAACACCACCACCACCACCACCAUUAUUCUCAAACUACAAUCAUUAUUAUUCUAAAAUUUCAUUUUAAAUUAAUGAAAAUAAGUAAAAUGGCUAACCUAAGUUUUGUUGAAGGCUGUAAAUGGUAGACGAGAGAUGGAGCCGCCGCCGAUGAGAGCUGCUGUUGCCGCCGAUGAUGGGAGUUUCUUUGGUUUGGGAGAGAUGGGUGAAAGAGAGUUGUUAAGUGUUAGAAAAUGCAUAUUUAUAAAGGAGAAAACCGUCAUUUUAUAUUUCAAGUCUUACUAACAACUCUUACUUUUAUGUAUUUAACCUUCUUGUGAUUUAAUUACGUGUGUUUUAUUUUAAUUAAGUAUUUGAUGUAUUUUAGGGGUAUUAUAGUCAUUUCACAAUAAAAAGAGAGAUCAGAUGACAAAACGGACAUCACUUUUGAACUCAGGACGAUCGAAAACCUUAGGAGGAGCACAAAAGGAAAAAUGACACUAUUUACAUGUACGGUACUAUUCAUGUGUACGGUACUGUCUACGUUACUGUUCACGAUACUGUUCACAUAGACGGAUCGAUGACGUGGCAUUGACCGAUGAUGUGGCAUUGACUGAUGAGGUGUUAUGAUCCUGUUGGACUAAAAUUCUUAUGUACUGUUGAUGGUGACGUGACAACAUAUCAGUGAACUAAAAAUCUCGCGUAUGGUACACGCAUCACACAGGAUUAUUUUCAACCAAACCGCGUCACUGUUCAACCCGGGUCAAACCGUGUUACUGUUCAUCCGCGUGGUCAAACCGCGUACUGUUGACUGAUGACGUGGCGCAAUCCUGAGCGUCCAAACUGUUUUUAAUCUGAUGGCCAUGAUUUACUCCAUGUAUCUAUAAAAAGGGGCCUCUCCCCCUUAAUUGGAUAGCUCUGAAUCCAUUUUUGGGAUUUAUUUUCUGUAAUUCCUUCUCCAUUUUGUAUUUUCUACGUAUUUUAAUAAAUUCCCAUUUUGCCCCUAGUUCAAUUAUGAGUGGCUAAUUUUCUUUCAAGCUUGGGUUGAAAGUGAAGUCUCAACAUGUGUCAUGGGCUUUAUUUGGUAAAUUUACUUUCUCUUCUCCUCUAAUUUUUGUGAAUGUUUUGACUUCUCGUCGACAAAUAAUACUAAUUUUGUCUAGUACCGCAUUGGUUUCACCGGCCCCCUAGUACAAGGUUAUUAUUAUUUGGCACGAUAAGCCCUUAGCACCAUAUUGAUUAGAGUGUGGUUCAUGAGGUGUGGAUUCCCCCCUCAUGAUUUAAUUGGUAUUUGAUGGGUGUCGAAGCCAACAAAAAUAAAUUCCUACUCUAAAUAAAUUGUGUAUAGUGAUUGAGCAGGGUCGUGUCCACAGAGAUCGGUAAUUAUUUAAAUCCUUUUGAAACGUAAAACGUAAAAUGGGGGAAUUGUUGACAAUAAUAAAAAUCAAAUUAAAAAUAACAAGAAUGCAAAUUAAAGUUGUAAUUCAAAUUGGAGAAAGCUCUGGUUGAAGGAAUUAACUCAGCUUGAUUCGACUACUGAUCAUUGAUUCAAAUAUAGAUUAUUAUUACUCAUGAAUAGACCGGUUAUAGCUACUGAAACCCUCUAAUAGCCAAUCUCUCCUUAACUAGUCGAUAACCAAGGUACGACCGUUGGUUAUUUCCCUAAUCAAUAGACAACCCUAAAUACGAUCAUAGAAUUUAAUCAAUUGACAGCCUGAAAAACCAGAGAGACCCAAAUCCUAAUCAACACAUAUGAUGAUUCAUUUAAAUUAGAUUGUUUAUUCUCACAACACAACUCUCUGCUAUGUUAUUUGUCACAAACAUUAAAUUCUUCAUACGAUGAAUCCUUUAAUUGACAAUAGAUUAAGCUGAUAAUAAAAUAGUGGCCAAUUACCUAAUUAACAAACAUAAUCAUGAAAAUAAUUCAGAGAAUAAACAAAUACCCAAAAAGUAAUAAAACAAUUAAAGCACAAAAAAGAUCUCACAGUAGUGAUGAAUCAAAGCUUCAUUAACCUUCAACCAGAAAAAUGGGUUUAGUUCCUCAUAGAGAGAAGAGAAAAAAUAGAUCUAGGGUUUCUUUUUCUCCAAUCCAAAAAUCCCCCCUUUUUCACAAUUGAUUCCUCCCUUAAAUACUCUCUCUCUCUUCUCUUUUAGAGUUCUAUUUAAAAUAAAAUACUAAUAUCUAAAAUAUUAAAUUCGUAAUUACAAAAAUAGCCAAAAAUAUAAAACACGUUAAACUAAAAACUGCAGGUCCGCAAUUGACAGCACGCGCCCACGCCUUAUCAACAAAGUUCUUCUGCCGCUCAUAAUUUCUCCAAGGGAACAAUCAUCCCUAAACAUCAUCUUGUAGCUCAAUUUUAUCACCAAUCAAUAGAAUUGCACCUACAAAAGUAAAUCACAGGUAAAUCACUAUUAUUAAAUGCAAAACAUCGAUAUUAAGGGAAGUAAACAAUGCAAAACUAGUGCAUAAAUUGCACUCUAACAGUAUUAGUAAGGAAUAUUUAGCCCAUGGUGCAUGUUGAUACGGAUCCAGAUACUCAAGUACGUCAUUUCAAUAGAUUUCUCUUCAAUUUAUUCUCGCCAUUUCAAUUUCAUUUUUAGAAUUUAUUCUCGCCAAUUUAAUUUAAGAUUUAGCAUAUUCCAAAUCAUUUCCACCACAAAUCCAAUCACCCAUUUACAAAAUUAAUUCUACACACAAUCAAAAUCCACCUCCUCGUGAGAUCGACACUCGUCACCAUUGAUCUAUACUACAAUAGAUUCGUGCACUUGCGAGUUUAAUAAAAUUUGCACAACAAGAGUGUUGGGGGAGAGAUGAGAGAGAGGGAUAUUUUGGUCUCAAAGAUUCUUUUAUGGCUAAUGUUGAUAGAAACUUAUUUGGGGGGUUAAGAUGGAAAAAGCCAAAAUUUUUAUGGCUAUUAGUGUAAAUUUCCCAAACCUUUGUACAUGAUCCCAUUAACACAUUUAGCCGCCACUUAUUAACUCUUUAGCCAAUAGUUUGCGAAAAUAAAUAUAUUGCUUUGCAUGUGACAUUCAAUGUCAAAAUUGGUGAUCAAAUUAUUUUGAUAAAAAUUUUAAUUUAUAUCACUUUUGUAUUCCUUUCCUCUUUUUUUUUAUAGUCUGUAAUUAUUUUUCAUUUAAGCUCCAAUUUGUUCAUUCUUUUUAUUUGAAUAUUUCUAAUGAAAAAAAAAGUAAGAAUCUUAAUAUUUUAGUCUCAAAAUUAAAUUUUAAUAUCAUCUGUCACUCAUCUAUUUAAUAAUAAAUUUCAUAAUUUAUAAAAUUAUUUAACUAUUGUCUAAUGAAUAAAUAUCACAUCAAUCAAAACUCAAAAUAAAACUUAAAUACUAAAGUACCUUAUAUUACUCUAUUCACUAUAAAUACCUACACUAAGAAAAAUGAAAAAUAAGAUAAAAGCCAACAGAACAAAAAUUAAUUUAAUAUAAAAUUAUGUCAAGCAACCGUUAAAAAUAAUAUAUAAAUUAUGGGCACAUAAGGGUUGCUUUUAUAAUGCUUGCGACCGACGCUGCAUCAAUUUUGGAAGCCAAGCCAAAUUCUUAAGCCCAAAGGCUUUAUAAGAUUCCCCUUUUGAUUUGAAUUUAAAAGUCUUACACGUGCAACUCUAUUAAUGCCAUAAUGGAUUAGGCUUCAUAUUUAACUUCUUGUUCUUUGAUCUUCAAAUCCUUGCGCAGCAAAUUCAAUAGCGUUUAGCUCUUUCAGAUUUUGAUCUCUUCAAUUAAGUUUAUUUCCUAAUCUUCAAUUCAUUAUGUUGUUCAAUAGAAAUAAAUUAAUUAAUUAAUAAAUAAAAAUUAAAGGUAAAAUAUAUGGAUAAAUGUUGUCCAACAAGAUUCAAUUAAGAAGUAUGAGGUGAAAAACGUGAGCUCAAACCAAUAAAAGCUAUACAAUUUAUUAACUUAAAAGAAGCAAAUCAUGAUUUUUUUUUCUUUUAUUAGGAAUGCAUUGUGGAACAACAUUAAUUGUGCAUUAAUUAAUCACUAAUCAAACAUGGGUUGGAAUCAGAANNNNNNNNNNNNNNNNNNNNNNNNNNNNNNNNNNNNNNNNNNNNNNNNNNNNNNNNNNNNNNNNNNNNNNNNNNNNNNNNNNNNNNNNNNNNNNNNNNNNUUUACUUUAUCUUAAAAUCGAAAUAAAAAUUACGAGAUUGUUAUAAUUACUGAAAAGUCCUUAAUUACCUAUUGUGAUAAUUAUUAUUUUGCUUCAAUUAUGGUUGUUGUUGUUUAAAAAUAUUAUUAUUAUUAUUAUUAUUAUUAUUAAUUAUUGUUAAUAAUAAUAAUAUUAAUGUUUACGUUAAUAUUAAUUAAUUAAAUGUUUUUUAUCAUUAAAAUAAUAAUAAUAAUCAACAUCAUCAUCAGAACCGGCAGUUAUUGGGGACGGGACGGCUACUGUUGGUUGUUGCCCAAACAAAGUUGACGUGAUGGCCAAUCGGUGGCCAGCUGCUACUCCAUUGACAAUGACCAACGGUGACGAUGAGGGUGUUGUGCUUUCGACAGCGACGUUUGGCUUUCAUGGCUUCGACGAGUUUGGGGGUAUGCUGUUCUUUAUUUUUUGUUAUUUAUAUUUUUUAAUUUAAACUGAUGGUAGUUUUGUAAUACUAAAAGCUUAGUAUGGGUAAAAUCGAUACUCCUCAAAAUGAGAGUCUGAUUCCCACCCCUUAGGAAUCAAUCUCUCACUCUCCAAAAUCCAAUUUGAUGUGGAUCCCACCUAAAUGAUUUUUAUUCUGCACCUUAUUUUUUGAAGUAAAUAUUGUCGAUUAUUCCAAUUCUAAAUUUUGUUUUCUCAAUUCAAAAAGUAAAUGCAUCGUAAAAUUAUUUUUGUGAAAAAUCGUAAAGUUAUUUUUGUGAAAAACCGUAAAGUUAUGCUUGAGCCACUAAUAAUAUCAAAAUACUUAAAAUUUUCUACUUUGUUGAACCAAUAGCGAUAAAAUUGUCUUUGAAAUUUAGAUGCAAAGUAAUGAUCAAAGAGACCAUAGGCAAAUACGUGAGGACUGUUGGAGGAGGAAGCUAGAGUGCGAUGGUAUGAAAGUAGAAAGUAUUCGUAGUAAGAGAAUAUGGUUAGAGGAAGUAGUUGAGAAUUGAGAAAAGAUAGGACUUAAAGCCCUUAUGGUUUAACUUUAACUUAUUUUAUUAAAAUUUUCCGGUUCACACUUUCACAAUUGAGCAAAUGCUUCAACUUAUAGUGCACGUCACCGACAUUACAAAUGCAUUUUAUCUAACUAUUUUUUGACCACUCAAUUAAACUAACUUAUUUUUCUACCACAUAAAUUUUUCACUAGCUAAUUUCCAACCAAAAUUACUCUCUAGAUAUUUAGCGCUUAGCUCUUGAAGAUUUACAAAUUAAUAUUUCAAGAAGGACGCUAUAAAUAGCAGGCUGUAUAUUGAAGCGUUCUCUCAACCACAUGAAUUUCUAUUUUCUAUUGAAACCAAUAAUGAAACUUGCUGUUGCCCUUCUUUUACUAGAGUUGCUUGCUCUAGCAAAUAUCAAAAUUGGCUAUUGCAAUGGAAGCGCUUAUAUUGGUUGUAUUCAAAGUGAAAGAGAAGCGCUGUUAAGGUUCAAGCAAGAUCUCAAAGAUCCCGCGAACCGGCUGGCCUUAUGGAGUGAUGGGAAUUGUUGCACUUGGGCUGGUGUUGUCUGCAACGACUCGACAGGCCAUGUCCUAGAGCUCCGCCUCGGAAAUCCUUUUCUGCAUGAUGAUGAACCUUUUUGGCUUGAAGAUUAUAAGGACGAGACGUCAAAGUUGAUUGGUAAGAUAAAUCCAUCUCUGCUUGAUCUGAAGCAUUUGGUUUACUUGGAAUUGAGCAACAAUAAUUUUGAAAAAGCUCAGCUUCCUGUAUUCCUUGGUUCCAUGGGGAGUUUAAGACACAUUGAUCUCUCCAGAGCAGAAUUUACGGGAAUGAUUCCUUACCAGCUCGGGAACCUUUCUAAUCUCCAAUAUCUUGAUCUCAGUAGUCAAAUCCCUUUGUCUUUUUUAUAUUUGGAAAACUUUUCCUGGUUAUCUGGUCUAUCUUUGCUAAAGCACCUUGAUUUAACUGGCGUGGAUCUCAGUACAGCCUCUGACUGGUUUUUGGUGACAAACAUGCUCCCUUCUUUACAAGUGUUAAAAUUGUCAGCUUGCAGCCUCCAUAACAGCUUGCCCGAGCUACCUAUUGCAAAUUUCUCAUCUCUCUACACCCUUGAUCUCAGUUACAACGAGUUUGAUAACACUUUGGUUCCUAGUUGGGUUUUUGGUCUAAGUCAUUUAUGCUGCGUUUACUUUUUGGAUUGGAGUGGGAAUCUUGAGGAGUGGGAAUCCUGAGGAGUGGGAAUUCUUGGAUUAGGAGUGUGGAGUGGGAGUGAGAGUAGGGUGUUUACUUAGACUAAAUGAAAGUAUGGAUUGUCAAUCAGAAUCCUAAUUAUUUGUUUACUUUGUCUUGGAUUGGGAGUAAAUUGUUUUAAUUUAUAAUUUUAUCCUUAUGUACAGAAUUAUAAUUUGUAAUUAAAAAAUUAAUAAAAAAUAUAUUUAGAAAAUAAAAUAAAUAUUUUAUUAUAUUUAUAAAUUAAUAAUAAUUACUAAUAUUCUUAAUUAUAUAAAUCAUAAUUUUUUAUUAAUUUUAAUUUAAAUUAUGUGAAUAAAAAUUAUUAAUAAUAGCAACACAAAUGAAAUAUUAUUAUUGAUAAUAUAGUACAAAAUUAAUAUUUUUUUAGAAUAAAAUAUUUAUUAUUAUUAAAUAAAUAAUUAAUUAAUAUUUAUUAAAAUUAAUGUUUAAUAUUAUUAAUUUAAAUAUAAUAUUUAUUUAUUUUUAUUUUAUUAAAUUUAAUAAAAUAAAUAUGAUAUAAUUAUUAUUUUUAAUAAAUAUGAUAUUAUUUAUUUUAUUAAAUAUUAUUUAUUUAUUUAUUUAUUUAUUUUUAUAAGGAUAAAAUGGGAAGAGGGGGGAGUGUAUUCUCACUCCCACCUCCUCCCAUGGGAGUGGGAAUCUCACUCCCCACUCUAAAAUUAAGUGGGACCCACAAAUUCCCACUUCCACUCCCCCUUUUUUAAGGUAAGUAAACACUGGAGUGGGAGGAAUCCACACUCUACACUCCCACUCCAGAAAGUAAACACUAUCUUAAUCUUUCUUGAUCUAGGUUUUAAUUCCUUUGGAGGUCCAAUCCCUGAUGGACUUCAAAACUUGACUUCUCUUGAACAUCUUGAUUUGCGUUCCAACAAUUUCAUUUCUUCGAUUCCCACCUGGUUGCAUAAAUUCACCCGUCUUGAGUACCUUUCACUUCGUGGCAAUAGAUUAGAAGGCCAGAUUUCUAGCGUUGUAGGAAAUUUGAGUAGUACUAUCAAAUCACUCAAUCUCGAUUACAGUGAAGUUCAAGGGAAAAUUCCAACCUCAAUUGCAAGACUUUGUAACUUGAGGUCAAUCUCUAUAAUAGGUGUCAAGUUGAGUCAAGACAUAUCCCAAAUCAUAGAUAUUUUCUCAGGAUGUGUUUCAGAUGUGAUAGAGAUUGUUGACUUACGCGAUAAUAAACUCUCGAAUCAACUGAUCAAUGAACUUGGGCAAUUUAAAAGUCUACAAGGUCUUUUACUGGGUGACAACAUGAUUUCUGGUCAUAUUCCAUCUUCUCUGGGAAAACUUUCAUCCUUGCAAGCUGUCAGUCUUUCAAAUAACAAAUUGAACGGAACUCUUUCUGAAAUUCAUUUUGCCAAUCUCACAAGUUUGUUAGCUUUUUAUGUUUCUGGAAAUUCAUUAACUCUCAAAGUCAGUCCUGACUGGGUUCCUCCUUUUAAAAAGAUCAAAUCACUAGACUUAGGUUCUUGUAAUUUAGGCCCUCAGUUUCCAUCUUGGAUUAAUUCACUAGAGCAUUUGCUUUAUCUAGAUAUGUCCAACUCAGGAAUUUUAGGUACCAUACCCAGUAGGUUUUUUAAAUCUAUACCCCGUAGAUUAAAGCAUUUCAAUCUCUCUCACAACCAUAUCUACGGGGAAAUUCCUAGUUUAUCUGAGGCUACUCAACUGGAGUCUGUUGACUUGAACUCGAAUAGUUUAUCUGGUCCAAUACCUUUUAUUCCCUUCAACAUACGUUUACUUGAUUUGUCCAACAAUGCUUUAGCUGGAUCCCUGUUCCAUUUCUUGUGUUCUGAGAGAAAUGAAGCGAAGCAUUCGAUGGAAUUUCUCAUCCUUGCGAACAAUUCUUUGUCUGGAGAAUUACCUGAUUGUUGGAUGAAUUUGCAACAUUUGUCGGUCCUGAAGUUAGGUAACAAUGCGUUUACUGGUGCCCUUCCAGCCUCAAUGGGAAGUUUAACUUCGCUCCACUCGUUGCAGCUUGACCACAACAAUCUUUCUGGGCCAAUACCUGCAUCACUUCAAAAUUGUGCAAAGUUAGUAGUCUUUGACAUUGGUGAAAAUGGGUUCUCUUGAAAUAUUCCAGCAUGGAUUGGAGAAAAGCUUUUAAUAAUGAUCCUCCGCCUUCGAACAAACAAAUUCCACGGCCAUAUACCAGCCGAGCUUUGUCGUCUAACUUCUCUACAUAUCUUAGACCUCUCUCAUAAUAAUUUUUCUGGAACUAUACCGAGAUGUAUCAAUAACGUCACAGCCAUGAUGAACCAGAGCAAUUCUAUGGAGACUGAUUUAGAAUAUUAUACCUUUAGUAUUCACUUUAUCAUUAGGUUCAUCGAGAAUGUAUUGGUCGUGAUGAAAGGAAGAGAGCUGGAGUAUAAUACCAUGCUUAAAUUGGUAAGAUGUAUGGAUCUGUCUGGAAAUAAUCUUUCAGGAGACAUUCCGGAAGAAAUGACAAAUCUUGUAGCAUUGCAAUCACUGAAUUUGUCACACAAUUUUCUUACUGGAAAAAUUCCUGAGAACGUGGGCGCCAUGAGGUCAUUGGAGUCCAUUGAUUUCUCUGGAAACCUUCUUUCUGGUCGAAUCCCACAAAGCAUUUCAAGUUUGACGUUUCUGAGUCACUUGAACUUGUCUGAUAACAACUUGACCGGAAAAAUUCCUUUGGGCACUCAACUGCAAGGCUUUAACGCGUCCUGUUUUGCUGGAAACAAUCUUUGUGGCGCUCCACUUCCCAAGAAUUGCACAGAUCAGAAUGUUCCGAUACCAGCUGAAAAUGAAAAUGGCGGUGAAGAUGAAGACGAAAUGGGCUAUUGGUUAUAUGUGAGCACGGCAUUUGGAUUUGUGGUGGGAUUUUGGUGUGUAAUUGGCCCUUUGUUGAUCAACAGAAGAUGGAGGUACAAAUAUUGUCAUUUCUUGGAUCGCAUUAUUGCCAAAUUAGGAUGUUUGUAAGAAAUGUUGCUUGACUGGACUAUUUUAUGUAAUAUAUUUACAGCUGUGUCUUUUCAUGUAUCUUGUCCAACAAAUGGAGAUUCGAGAAUGAAAUUAAUGGACAGCUUUUUUCUUAUAUUUCAUUCUAGUUCUAUUCCUAUUCUCUUUCCCUUGAUAUGUGAAAGUUCACGAAAUUAAUUAAAUAAUAAUAGAAUCGAUUCAAUAAGUGAGGAUCACUUUAAUAUUUAGCCCUCAAUAUAACUCAGCGUACUAUUUUGAAGCUUGAGAAUGUAAUAUUUUAUUAUUUAUGCUAAAAAUCUAUUUUAUUAUUUAUGCUAAAAAUCAUUGCAGCGUUUUGUGGAACUUUUAAGGCUUAAUUAAUGAGAUACAGUGACCAUAUAGCAUGAAAUCUCCCAUGAACUUCGUUACUGGUUAGUCAUUAGCCUCUGCCUCUUCCACUAUUGUUUGUCGCUCAAUUCUCAAUCAUUUUUAAUUCUUAAUUUUUAUUGAUUUUCUGGUUGAAAAACAGAGCGUGAACAAUCCUGACAUGUUAUAGGCAUGGAAUUGGUAUGUAGCGGAUAAGCUGACCCCGUUUAAAGAUCCAAGCUUUUUAGCCCCAGCAAAUAAUCUCAUCGGGGCCUAUUCCGAGAUAGAGGAAUUUUAUUCAUUGUGUGACAUUAGAUUGUACGUCGAAUAAACGGAACAGUUUUUUUUUUUUAACCUUUUACUCAUUCAACUGUAUUGAAUUACAUUCAAUUUUGCUGUGGGCUAUUCUUGUCAGUGAGUAAUUGCAAUCAAAACAGAACAUAGGACCAGCCAGUGCGAUAUUCUUCCAGUUCUCAUUAGGAAAACUACUAAAACACAUGUAUACAUAUGCAUAAAUAUGAAUCCACAACAUUCUUUCGAAUAAGAAUGUUUUUUCUUCAAAUAUUUUCUUUUGUGUUUCUUGUUCACAACCCAAAAUGAUCAAACCAUUCGUAAAAAGGCUCAAGAAAUUCCAGUGCAGCAGUUGGAGACAGUCUAGGAAACUCCUUUACCUGUCUGCUAAUCUUGAUGGGAUACUUAACACCUGAAUAUCCCCAGGUAAUGCUCAUUUUCUGCAAUACUUGUCCACACUUUAAUAUAAACCUUACCAACUCUAGUUGAUUCUCGUUACCGUAAAACUCCAAUAUCUCAACCGUUUUGAGAUGAUGUGUCAGACAUGGAAUACCCUUAUCUGGUAUUUUCCAGAGAUCACCAUCUUUAAACUGUCACAGUGAAAACAAAUAAAAUAUCAAUGCCAAAAGUAAGGAAGUCAUUCUGACAAAACAGGUUAUAUGCCAAUCAGGUUUUAUGCCAAACAACACUCCAAAAUCCAAGUGCUGACCAGGCGAAAAUAAAUAUUCCAAAAUUAGCCGAUCAAUUGGAUGGAUCCAAUUCCAUAAGAAACUAAUUCUCAGCUAAUGUUCACACAUUCUUCUGUGCAAACAUGACCUAAGCUGUGGUAAUCAUCAGGAUGCUAUCUUCAUGGGAUAGGCCCAAGGAGGCACUCAAUUUUUUGCAUGUGAGUACUCGCAUGCUUAUAAGUGUAUUAUCUUCAGUUUGAACCACAACAUUGCCAAAUCCAAUUAACAUUAAACAAGAUUAAUUACGCCUAACUGGAGCAAUAAUUCUAGGUAUUGAAAUUACCCAAUCAAAAUAUAUUGCAAGUGCUUCAAGAUUGGGAGAGCAGUUGAGCAAGUUGAUUGUUGAUUGUAUGGUCUGGUCAAAUGGGCCAACAAUCAGCUUUAAAGACUUCAAAUUAUACAAUGGAGAGAAGAAGCAAUCCGGCUUAGCAAAUACAACAUUGAGAAGCUGCAGGUAGCACAUAAAAAGAAAUGAUAAACCAUAAGGAUCGGGAUUCCGAGAUAAUCACAAGCAAAAUUCAACUAUGUACCAAUGAUAUUCAUAAAGAGUCGUGACUUACAUUUGAGUCUCAGUAAGCAACAAAAAAGAGUUUUGCUUACAAGUUGGCUUGGCAAUGGUAAGAGCUAAGAACAUCAACUAAUGCUUUCAAUGUUCAUAGCAUACAAAUGUUCUACAUAAGGCUCAUAAAAAGAAAAAUUGAAAGAGUGAGGCGGUAGGAAAAAUAGAAAAAGAAAAUAGGCACAAUUAGAAAGACAGGUCUGCAACUAGCAAAUAUCAAAUGAUACAAUUACAUCCUAAUUAUAUUUAUAGUACACAAGUGAUAUGUCAAACAUAUAUCAAAUUCCACAAACGGCUUACAAGAUCACAGUUAUUUAAAGCAAACUAGACUCCAUUGAAACCAGUUGCAUUGUCAAAUGUAAACGGUCAACAAAAUCACCAAACAAGAAACCAAAUAGUAGCACAUAUAAGGAGAGCAUAGAUUCAUACCCAGGAAACAACCAUAUUUAGUUUCAGAACUUCAGCAUUGCGAACUCCAUUGAAUAUUUUACUCACACCAUAACAAACAUCAUCAUCACCGUCAAUAUCUAAGUAAAUGUAUGCCUUUUUUAAGGACUUUAACCCCUCAAAGGAGAACUCCAGUUCGGCUGAGCCUGAAAAUUUCAAAGACAGAAGAUUUGGGCAGGCAAGCUUUACCUCACAGUUGGCCAAACCUUUUGGUUCACAGAAUCCAACAUCAUCUAUGGUCAAAUGCUUUAAACUGGUUGUUGAAAUAUCAAGAAUCUUGAAAUCACGGAAAAAACAAGCCGCCAUAUUCAAAUUUUCAAGGAGUGGACAGCUUGAAAUAAACUUACGGAACAAGUUAGAAUCCAAUAACUCAACCUUUUGCAAAUCGAGGGACUUGAGCCGGGUAAAACCAGCACAAGUAGGCAGCUCUAAGACACCCUGAUGGUACACUUUUUUGCCAAAAUCUAACUUCAAUGACACCAAUGACUCACAAGUUACAAGACAAAGGGGCAACUUAAUAGGUUCUUCUGAAAUAAUAUCCAAAUCAAGUACUUGCACAUUUCGUUGUGCCACAGCACUUAACCAUCUGUAAAGUGUAUAAUCAUCGACACAAUUGAAGCACGAAAGAAGAAAUCUUUGAAUAUUAAUGGACCCAUUUUGAGACAGCAACACCCAGUUGACAAAAUCUUUGAACUUCUCAUUGAUUUUUUCAAGUGACCAUUUUUCCUGCGGAUUUGACCAAAUAUUGUGAAUAUUGAAGUUCAAGUAAGGAAUGGAAAGCCAGAAGCACCUCCAUUUUCGCGAAACAGCGCUUGCUCUAACAACAUCAAUUGUGCCAAGGAACGAGAAUAUGUGAUGAAUAAUGGGCUCAGGAAGAUUGCUGAGUCUGUCAACAUCUUCACCGCCACAUCUCAAUCUCGGAAUUUUUGUGCUCUUAAAAGCGCCUACCAUUGAACUAGAAUUUUGGGUUUUUAUGUUCGUAUCGAUCUGGGGUAUCAAUGGAUCCACUUACUCAUCCAUAGAUACUUUUCAAGUGGAAAGGAGAUUGGGAAUUCCGACGUUAGAAAUGAAUACGGUGGGGGGAAAUUUUCCCGCCAAAUUAAAAAACCCUAAUUUUGGGGAUUUUAUAAAUGGACGAAUUGCCUACUUCAAACGAAUAGUUGUCUUGUACUCUUGUUCUCCUUUCGUGGAUCUUUAAGGCAGUAAGGCCUGUUACUUUCCUUUUCUCAAAAAAAGCAUUUUAUUUAUUCUGUAUGUUAUGAAAAGUAUAAUAUCAUACCAGAUCACAGUUGUAUAACAUACAAUUAGAGUGCAAAUCGACAACAAUUUGAAAUAAAUAUUAAUAUCAUAAUUCAUAAACCCUUUCAGAAUUGGACAACAGAAAACUGAAAAGCUGCAUAAUUGGAUGGUAUUUUGAAGCAAAAUACAUUGCUGUCCUUGUAACUGGCUCUGUUUCCACUUUCCACAAAUCCAAAAGAAUGUUCGCUUCAAGCAAAUCAAAUAUAGAUGACAAACAAAGUUACUCUCACAUAUAUCAUAUUUCCAUCAUAAGUCAAUCAUCUUAAUAUUUCACAGAAGUCAAAAGAUGAUUUAGGCUGAAGGAAUUUCAGUAUAACACUCGAAGAUGAUCUCGGAAACUUCAUUAUCCUCGAGAUGAUCUCCCUACGAUUGUAGACAUCUUCCAACCAACUAAUCCUCAAUUUUUGUAACACGUGUCCAUUCUUUAGAAGAAAUCUCACCAACUCAAGUUCAUAUUCAUGACCUUUAAAUUCAACUAAAUCAACCGUCUUGAGAUGACAUGUCAAACACAAAAUAGCCUUGUUAGAUAUUUUCCACUCAUCAAAGUAUUCAUCCUGUAAAGAGAAAAUGGAUAGGAUGUAGGUAAGUAAUGCAAGGAAAUAAAUCUGAACAACAAUAAUUUUUUAAAGCAAAUAAUAGGGUAAGAUAAGACUUAAGUAUUAAAAGGUAAAUCAUCUUAAUUGGCAAAACAUAAUAUUCUCAGUUGGCGGAGCCACCCUGCUGAGUCUAAUUUUUUUUAAGAAACCAUUUCUUUUUAAUUUCAACAAAAAAAUUAUUUGCUCCAAUUCAAUUUUUAUUUGUUCCAGCCGGCUUUAAAUAAUAUACAAAAAAGUAGGCUCAAAGACUCAAACUCACAAUAGAUGAGUAUGUUAAAUCCAAAAUGCAUUGCAAACAAUAAGUAAAAUCAAAUUCUUCUAAGUAAAUUAAAUUUACCCUCACUCGGUUUAAGGUCAGGCUAUGCCAUUGCACAUAUGCCCUUUCUUGUUAUGGUAACACAACAAAAGAGCAUCAAGAUUAACUUUUACCAUCACGCUUUAUCAGACCUACUUUGAAAGUAUUGUAUUAAUUGAAAGCAAGCCUGGUGACAAUUUAAAAAGAUUAAACUCCUAGUACAUAGAUGAGAUUUAUGAUAAAAUAAGUGGGUAGGAGAAACUGUGUCUAACAAAUGAACAAACUUAGGUGUUGAGAUUACCGCAUCAAAAUAUAUUGUAAGAGCUUCAAGGUUUGGAGAGCGGUUGAGCAAUCUAAUUAUUAACGGCACGGUCCAUUCAGCCAUAGUCACGCAAAGUAUUAAAGACUUCAAAUUAUUGAAUGAAGCAGAAAAAUAUGAUCCUUCUUCAAGUGAAGCGUUCAGAAUCUAGAGAUCCACAAAAAAAGAAAAAAUCAAAAGAGUAAACAUAGGUCAGAGGAAAUGCAAUAAUUAAAGAGAAAACCUAACUACCGAUGAUUUCUGCAAAUUCGAGUCACAUACCAAUUGGUCCAAUUCUUGAUAUUAAGAACAAACUGAUUAUUCAGAUUAAUGUGGCAUCAUCAUAUAAUGUCAUUAUGGCUUACAAAAGUAUAUUGAGUUCAAUUGAUGUUUAUAGAGCAGAUAACAAGUCAUUUAAUGAAAAAGAUUGAAAAAAUUAAAGCUGUAGACAAGUACUAAUGAAGUCAUGUUACAGCACAAUGAAAAAUAUGAAAACAUACCUCGUAAAGAGUACACGAUAGUUUUAGAACUUCAACUCCACAAAGUCCAUUAAGGAUUUUGGACAAACGAUGACAAAUCUCUAUAUCCUCCAUGUGCUCCCCGAUAGUUUCCAAGAAAACAAAAGCAUUUUGUAAAGAGUUUAAGCCCUCCAAGUUGAAGUCAGGUAAUAGUAGAGCAAAAAUUUUGAAAGACACAAGAUUUGGGCAAGCAAUCUUAAGCUUGUAGCUCCCCAAUUCAUCACCACCAAACUCGAUGCGAUCAAGUGUCAAAGACUUCAAACUAGCAGAAGAAAUGUCAAGAAUCCUCAAAUCAGGAAAACGACAUGAAUCCAUAAUCAAAUUCUCAAGGAAGGGAGAGCUUGAAAUAAGUUUAAGAAAGAAACUAUGGUCCAAGAACUCAACAUGUUUCAAAUCAAGAGAUUUGAGCCGACUAAAACCAACAGAAGUAGGUGGUGGCUUUAAAACAUACUUGUCAAUCCCCCAACCAAAAUGUAACUUCAGUGCCUCCAAUGACUCACAGAUUACCUCACAGCUGCGCAAACCUUUUGGUUCACUUAAUAAGAACUCAUCUAUGGUCAGAUACUUUAAACUGGUUGUUGAAAUAUCAAGAAUCUUGAAAUCACGGAAAAAACACUCUUUCAUAUACAAAUUCUCAAGGAGAGGACAGCUUGAAAGAAACUUACGGAACAAGUUAUAAUCCAAUACCUCAACAUGUUGUAAAUCAAGAGACUUUAGCCGGCUAAAUCCAGCACAAGUAGGCAGAUUUAAGACACCCUGGUGCUCUCGGUUGCCAAAAUUUAACUUCAAUGACACCAAUGACUCACAAGUAACAAGGCAACGGGGCAACUUGAUUGGUUCUUCUGAAAUAAUAUCCAAAUCAAGUACUUGCACAUUUCGUUGUGCCACGGCAUUUAACCAUCUGUAAAGUGUAUAAUCAUCGACACUAUUGAAGCACGAAAGAAGAAAUCUUUGAAUAUUAGUGGACCCGUUUUGAGACAACAAUACCCAGUUGACAAAAUCUUUGAACUUUUCAUUGGUUGUCUGAAGCGCCUAUCUUUCUAGCGGAUUUGACCAAAUAUUGUGAAUAUUGAAGUUCAAGUACGGAAUCGAAAGCCAGAAGUACCUCCAUCUUCGCGAAACAGUGCUUGCUCUCACAACAUUAAUUGUCUCCAGGAACGAGAAUAUGUGAUGGAUAAUGGGCUCUGGAAGAUUGCUCGAUCUAUCGCCACCUUGGCAAUCGCCGCCAAUAUCAGAACACACUGCGAAUUUCAGAAUUUUAGGGUUUUUUCGAAGAGCAUUUUCCAUUGAAUUGAAUUAAUAAAUUUAUGGGGUUUCUGGUUAGGUUUGUAUCUUGAGAGGUGGAUUUGGGGGUUUCAAUUGAAAAAUUAGCGUGAGAAUCUAUUACGGCGGGAAAAUAAAUGAUUUUCGCGCUUCUUAUUUCUCUGAUGAGAGUGGGCCUUACGUUCCAUUGUGGACCCAAUAAAAAGCAGACACCUCAUCGCGGUUCGUACAAGCCAUAAUCACUACACUCACGGUGAACAUCGUCACUGUAACUCAACAACGGUGGGAACGAUAGCGGGCACUCCUCUAAUGUCGUAAGUAGACCAUUGAGAGUGCUGGUGCUAUCAGUGGCCAUAUCGAAAAUGAAAUGUUUAUUUUCCUCUUUUGAAAGAUUUUUCUUUUAUUAGGUCCCCAGUGAUGAAUAAAUUAUAAAUAUGCAGCAAUAUUUUUUAGGGUACUGAAUGAAAUUUUUAUGGAUUUUUUUUCCCCCAAAACUUUAUUUUUUCAAUUUGAACUUGGAGCUAAAUUAGGGCUGAUUGAGCUUGCACUAUUGUUGGAUGCUGCAAUAAUUGAGGAAGUGAAGUGAGAGAGAAUAAAUCCUAGAAUCGCAGUAUUUUAUUAAAUGAAAAUUCCAGUUUGCGGGUGCUGGAAGAUUUAGCAGCUUCUUUUGUUACUUUUGCUUAAUUUUGCCCUUCUUGUUAGAGAUCUACUGAUGAUGAUUCCUUUCUUAUGGGUUUGGCUUCAAGUUCAGAGUAAAUUAAGUUUCAAUUUUUUUUUGGGGCAUUUAUUUAGGAAAAAAGACGGCACUUUUACAUUUAAGGGCAAAAAAAUCAUAUAACUAAUUUUCUGUUAAUUCUCUUACUUGAGUGAAGAUGGAAGUGGAUGGGUUUAACAAAAUGUAAUUUUAACUGAAAUUCUGCCAAAAAAAAAGUGUAUUCUUAAGAAAAUUAAAAAAAUAUGUAGUUAAUGGAUAAUUGUCUUAAAAUUAUAUGUGAUUUUGGAAAUACAUCAUCACCCAUGAAGGAGUUUAAGUCUCUCUUUAAAAAAAAAAAAUCUAUGGGGAAAUUCCAGAUUUAUUAAAAGAGUUUUGGACUUUUGGGAAUAAAAUGAAGAACAAAACAUUAUGAUCCAUAUACUAGUAGGUAUUUUAGGCCAUAAUGCACAUGAGAACAGGAUUAUGGAAAAAUACAUUUGUGCAGUGACAACAUUUGAGUCCAUUUAUUUCUCUGGAAAUCAAUUUUCCAGUCGAAUCCCACAAAGCAUUUUAUGGUGGGCUUUUGGUGUGUAAAACUGGCCCCUUAUUUAUCAGCAGAGGAUGGAGGUACAAAUGCUUCUGGACUGGCCUUUUUGCCAACUAACAUAUUUGGAGCUGUGUCGUUUAUGCAUCUGGUUCAUCAAAUAGAAAUUAAUGUUCGAUAAUACUUAAAAACUCAUUAAUUGAGUGGCGUGAUAAAGCUUAACAAUGCUUUCGACAUACAAAAGCAGAAGGGUCUUCUAAUAAUUUUCCAGCUUCAUUGACAAGAUAAAUACAUGGAUAGCCGAGAAUUUUGUUUUUCUUUUUUUUUUUUGGGCGAGUAUUAACAUGUACACAUUACAACCAUUAAAAAAUAGAACACGAUCUUCUCCUGAUUUGAACACUACUGAACUUUUAAGAAUUUUUUAUCAUGUGUCUUUUAUUAGUAGUGUAUGGGUAAGAUUUAACUUCUUCUAUUUGUUUAUUUAUUAACAACCAAUCAAUAAUUGAGUUAUUUACUCAUGACAUGUUCAGGUCAAGAAAAUUACUUAUUUGCUCAAUACAUGCUCAGAUCAUGAAAAAAUCCUAACUUUUAAAAAAUAGCUCAGCCUAUAAAUGCAUAGGUGAAGCAUAUGCCCAAUUUAAACAUUGAGUUGUGAUGUUUGACCUUCCAUUAUAUCUCACCAACCCCCACCAAUCACUUUUUAACUAAUAAACUAACUAUUUUAUCUUUGUAUAAAAUGACUUAAAAUGGAAAAUAGUUUUUUAGUGUUCCCGCAUGAUUAUUUCUAUUAAUUUCUAAUUUGGCUAAUCUAAUUUCAUAAACCUUAAUUCCUUUUAACUUUUUAAAUUAUAUCUCUUCUCAAAUAUUGUAUACGGGUAAAAGCUCAUUUAGUCCUUAACUUUUGAAGUUAGUGUCUGUUUAAUCCCUAUAUUUUUAAAAAUACAUCAAACCAUCCCUAGCAUUAAAUUAUUGACACUCUUGUCAUUAUAUUUUGUCCCUUUUAACUUAUUUUCAAAAUAUUACCCUAUUAUAAUAAUUUUUUUAGACAUUAUUAAAAAGAAAAAAUAAAUUAUCAGUUUAACACCAAAAAAUAAAAUAAAAUAUAUAUUAAUUUUUGUGAAACACUCUCCUGAGUUAAAAUAUUAAUUUUUCUAAAAAAAUUGAUAAUUAAAUUUUUUACAAUAUUAAUUUUUUAGACAUACGUGUUACGUGAGCUUCCACAAAAAUUAAUAUAUAUUUUAUUUUAUUUUUGAGUUUAAUUUGAUAAUCUAUUUUUUUAUUAAUAUCCAAAAAAGAAAUAAUAUUGUAAGAGUGUAAUAUUAUAAAAGCAAGUUAAAAAGAAUAAUAAAUAAUGGCAUGAGUGUCAAUAUUUAGCAGCAGGGACGUUUUGAGAUGUUUUUAAAAAUAUAGGGACUAAAUGGAUACUAACUUCAUAAUAUAAGGACUAAACAAGAUUUUAUCCUGGUGUAUACUCUACUUUUGUAAUUAUGGAAGAAAUUAAUUUACAGUACUCAAUAGAAGAUAAUGAAGAAGUAUCAAAUCUUCUUUUAUAAUUAUAGCAACCAUGGAUAAAAUAUUUGAAAAGAAAAAUAGAGAUUAUAGUGAUUUUGAGAUUUUUUUAAAUUUUAAAAUAGAUUUUUAUAAGUUUUAUAUAGUGGAUCUUUGGAAAAAAAAAUAAAAAUUAUAAUAAAGGUAAAUUUAGGAUUAGACAAGGCAUGUUAAGAAAUGAAGAUUAAUUUAAAAUUUUUAAUAGGAUUAACUAAAGAGUGAAGGUUGGUGAGAUAUAAUAAAUAGGUCAAAUAUCAUCAUUCUUAAAAAAUUUAAAAAGAUAUCCUCACAAUAAAUGGGAAGGCCCCCCCCAACUCACGAACUUCAGAAUAAGGCAACAACGUGCUCACCGCUUUUAUCAUUGUCAUUAAUGUUCCCAUCUAAAUCGCUUCCCCACAUCCUCACCAUAUCACGAGUUGAAUUUUCUACUAUCAGUUGAAAUUCCAUUGUUGUCUCCAAUCCAAUCUUAAACUGGUUGAUUCUGCAUAAUCUUUUUCACCAAUUUUGUCUGAGGUUUAAUAGCUUGAACACUCUCACACUCUUUGAGAUUAACUUAGGGAUAACAAUAGGUCAGAUAUGGGUUAAAUCUAUUUGUUCCAAAUGUAGCUUCAUAGUAAAAAUCUAAAUUUUUAUCUGCCUAAAUCCAUUAUGGAUCCAUAUUUUUUGCUUCAUAUCCGAAUUUAAAAAAGGAAUAAGCAUCUAUGUCUGCUCCAAAUCUCAAAAUAAAAAUUUAAAUCUGCUCUAAAUCCGUUAUGAAUUCUAAAAUUCAACAAUAAAAGAGCAAUAAAUUUUUAGAAUGAAAAUAAAAGAUUAAAUUGUAUUGAUACCAACUAAAUUAUAUAAUUUGUCUUAAAAAUCUAGUAAAUAUUGUAGCUUAUACUUUUACACUAAAAUAAUUAAUUAAAAAAAGAUAAUAAAUUAUCCUUCAAAAAUUAACUUUGUGACAAUUUUGUACUAUCAAAAUUUUAUAUUUAUGCUAAUUAUAAGAGAAAUAACUAUAUUAUUUAAAAAUUAUUUCGCCAGUGUUAUGAAAUAAAUUGUCAGAUGUUAUUAGUCAGCUUACAAUUUAAAUAUUGCACGUGCGCGCUGUAUAGCUUUAGAGCUGGCUAAAGCUAAAAGGAAUGGCUAAAUUGACUACACAACUUUUUCAGCGUAAAAACCUGUUCAUCCCUUAAACGAUCAUUUUUCUGCAACGGUCAGAUUAUCUUGAUCACCAAAAUCACUUGCAACUUCCAAAUUGGAUUUGGGAGGAAAACCUGGAGGAGCAGGGGAAUCAUUAGCUUCAUUCUUCAAUUCUAAGCUUGGCGACGACGGUGAGGCGAUAUUAGUGUUUAAUUCACGAUCUUCACUCUUUACAACCAUUAAAUCCGUCAGAGACACGAGAUUUUCUAUAAACGCAGUCAAAUCUUCAUAAAGAAAGGCCGGUGCAAUUGCAAUUUGAAUGCCUCUAGCUAAACGCGCAGCUAAAGGAAUAACAGAUUUUCACAAUUGUACGAUCAGGGCUACACAGACCUUGACAAUCAUAAUACAACAAAGGCUGCGAAUUCGACUUGACUUUUUGCUAUUCCAGAAUUUCUUCAACCACUUAACAUGCCUGCUCCUUAGCCCCUCCGGUAGGUUCUGUUUUGCUUGAUUCGCUUUCGUUUCUACUUGCUUCAACUCAUCAGUUCAAGAGGGCCCAAAACAGAGUAUACCCUGCAAAUCAUCAAAUCUUCUACUAGUUUUAUGGUUGCUUCACCCCAUGGGAAAAUGAAACUUCUCGUUUUGAAAUUGUAUUGUGAAGCUUACCGUUGCCUGUUCAUUUACGAAAUUUUAUAACUUCAUUUACAGUUUUCUUUAUGAAAGAGCUAUUAUUGUAGUCUUAUACGGUUAUGCUGUCUUCUUCUUAUUGGGCGGGCCGACUAGGUAUCGCUGAGGCCCACUCUCAUCAGAUUAAAAAGUAGCGGGAAAAGAAAAUCAUUCAUUUCCCAGCCGUGCAAAUUUCUCGGUCGGAGCUCAAAUCUCUUUUACUUGAGGGGAUAAGUCUUCAAUUCAACCCCUAAAUAAUCAUCCGCGACAUAGAAACCUGACCAGAACACCUCCCAAAUUUUAAUUCAAAUCAAUGGAAAAUUAUCUUCAAAGAAGCCCUAUAAUUUCAAAAUUGACAUGCGGCGUAUGUUAUAAUGUUGGCGGCGAAGAUGGUGACAGACUCAGCAAUCUUCCAGAGCCCAUUAUCCAUCAUAUCUUCUCAUUCCUGGAGACAAUUGAUGUUGUUAGAGCGAGUGCUGUUUCGCGAAAAUGGAGGUACUUGUGGCUUUCAAUUCCUUACUUGAACUUCAAUGUUCACAAUAUUUGUUCAAAUCCGCUAGAAAGAUGGUCACUUCAAACAACCAAUGAAAAGUUCAAAGAUUUUGUCAACUGGGUAUUGUUGUUUCAAAAUGGUUCCGUUAGUAUUCAUAGAUUUCGUCUUUCUUGCUUGAAUCGCGUCGAUGAUUAUACAUUUUACAGAUGGAUUGCUGUUGUGGCACGAUGAAACGUGCAAGUUCUUGAUCUUGAUAUAAUUUCAAACGAGCCCAUUAAGUUGCCCCGUUCCCUUGUAACUUGUGAGUCAUUGGUGUCAUUGAAGUUAGAUUUUGGCAACCGAGAGCACCAGGGUGUCUUAAAUCUGCCUACCUGUGUUGGCUUUAGCCGGCUAAAGUCUCUUGAUUUACAACAUGUUGAGGUAUUGGAUUAUAACUUGUUCCGUGAGUUUCUUUCAAGUUGUCCCCUCCUUGAGAACUUGUAUAUGAAAGAGUGUUUUUUCCACAAUUUCGAGAGUCUUGAUAUUUCAACAACCAGUUUAAAGUAUCUGACCGUAGAUGAGUUUUUAUUAAGUGAACCAAAAGGUUUGCGCAGCUGUAAGGUAAUUUGUGAGUCAUUGGAGGCACUGAAGUUACAUUUUGGUCGCGAGAUUGACAGGUGUGUUUUAAAGUUACCACCUACUUGUGUUGGUUUUAGUCGGCUCAAGUCGCUUGAUUUAAAGAAUGUCAAGUUAUUGGACCAUAGUUUUUUCUUAAACUUAUUUCAAGUUCUCCCCUUCUUGAGAAUUUGAAAAUGGAUUCAUGUUGUUUUCCUGAUUUGAAGAUUCUUGACAUUUCUUCCAAUAGUUUGAAGUCUUUGACACUUGAGCGCAUUGAGUUUGGUGGUGAUGAAUUGGACAACUACAAGCUUAAGAUUGCUUGCUCAAAUCUUGAGUCUUUCAAUAUUUUUGCUCCACUCUUACCUGACUUCACCUUGGAGAGCUUAAACUCUUUACAAAAUGCUUUCAUUUUCUUGGAAACUAUCGGGGAGUACAUGGAGGCUAAAGAAAUUUUUCUUCGCAUGUCUAAAAUCCUCAAUGGACUUCGUGAUGUUAAAGUUCUGAAAUUGUCGUGUACUCUUUACCAGGUAUAUUUUUAUAUUUUCAUUGUGCUAAAGAAUGACUUUAUUAGAACUUGUUUACUGCUAUCUUUUUUCUUUUUUCAUGAAAUGACUCAUUCCCUGCUGUGGUGAACUUCAAUUGAUCUGAAUAUGCUUUUCUAAGCCAUGAUGACAUUGAAUGAUGCCACAUUAGUCUAAAUAAUCAAUUUGUUCUUGACAUCUAGAAAGGGACCAACUGAUUGACUUGAGUUUAUAGAUAUCAUCAAUAGUUAGAUUUUGUGUUUAGUUAAUUACACUUCCAUUGACUUCUGAUUACUCUUUUCAUUUCUUUUGUGGUUCCUCCAGUUUCUGAAGGCUAUACUUGAACAGCGAUCCUAUUUUUCUGCUUCAUUCAAUAAUUUGAAGUCUUUAAUACUUUGUGUGACAACAGCCGAAUGGACUGUGCCAUUAAUAAUUAGACUGCUCAACCGCUCUCCAAAUCUUGAAGUUCUUACAAUAUAUUUUGAUUUGGUAAUCUCAACGCCUAAAUUUAUUUGAUUUGUUAGCACACAUUCUUCUACCCAUUUAUUUUAUCAUAUCUCUCAACUAUGUACUAAAAGUUCAAUCUUGUUAAAGUGUCACUAGGCUUGCAGCUUGCUUUAAUUUAAGACAAUACUUUCAGAGUAGGUAUGAUAUGUUAUCUUAAUUUAUUCCUUAGAGCUUAAUAGUAGAAGUUAAUCUUGAUGGUCUCUUUUGUUGUUACAAGAAAUAGCAGAUGUGAGUUUUUUGUUUUGCAAGUUAAAAAUAUUUCCCUUUUCUCUUAGUCUUAUAUUAUUACCCUAUUAUUUGCUAUUAUUCUUCUUAAUAUUUAUUUCGUUGCAUUACUUACGUAUAGUCUUGUCUGUUUUCUCUUGACAGGACGAAUACUAUGAUGAUUGGGAAAUACCUGACAAGGUCAUUUUGUGUUUGACAUGUCAUCUCAAGACAGUUGAGUUAAUUGAUUUUAGCGGUAAUGAGAAUGUACUUGAGCUGGUGAGAUUUCUUCUAAAGAAUGGACAUGUAUUGCAGAAAUUGAGGGUUAGUUGGUUGGAAAGGUGUGGAGAAUCGUAGGGAGAUCAUCUCAGCGAUAAUGAAGUUUACUAUAUCAUUUUCAAGUGUUGCUCUAAAAUUCCUUGAGCCUAAGCCAUUUCUUGACUUUUUUAACACAUUUUGAUGAUUAGGCGCAGGAGGGAAAGUAUUAAAUAUGUGAAAGAAACUUUGUAUAUUAUAUAUAUUUGCUUGAAGCAGACGUCCCUUUGAAUUUGUGGUAAGUGGAAACAGUGACAAUUACAUUGUCAGCCAUAUGUUUUUUGAAAUACCACUAAUUAUGCAGCUUUUAAUUUUUUUCUGAAAGGAUUUAUGAACUGUAAUAUUCAUAUCCAAUUCAUAUUCUCUGAUUAUGUGAUUAUAAUUAUCUAGUAUGUAUUAUACUUUGUUCAUGAUACAUAAACAUAAAUGACAUGUGUAACAUAUGUCGUCCACGCAUUCUAAAAUGCGGUUUCAACAUUUUGCAAGGCCUUAAAAGGUUUUGCAGUGGUAGAAAAUGCAGGAUCUGCGUAGCCCCAGUCAGUACAAAAAUUAUUUUUUUUUUUUUGAGAAUAAAGUAGAUCUUUCAUUUAAAAGAAGCCAUCAAACAAGCACAAAACAUCGGCUGGGAAUUCAUCCCGCCAGAUGACAGAACCUGAGCUUUUUAAAGCUCUUUUGACUAGAGAGUGAGCACUAGUAUUACAUUGUCUUGGUACAUGCUGGAAAUCUAUCGAUUGGAAGUCUUGCCUGCUGCUUUGAAUUUCUGCUAUCGUCCACCAUAUCUCUGUUUUGUUGCUGACUUUGUUGUUGGCUAAGUCAGCCACCAUGCUGCAAUCAGUUUCGACAAUCACAUUUGUGAAGCUAGCUUUGCUUGCCACCUCCAUUCCCCAUUGGACAGCUUUGGCUUCUGCUAUCGAGACAUCUCCUUGAAAAUUAAUGCUUUUCACAGCUGCAACUACCACUUGGCCUUGCGAGUUUCUGAUCACAGCCCCUAAGCCUGCCAUUUGACUCUCUGCAUGCACCGCCGCAUCAACAUUGAUUUUCAGCUUGGAACUAGGUGGUCGAUUCCAUCUUUGCGCCUCCUUUUCCUUUAUGCUUCUUGGACUAUCUUGCUCUUUAAAUUGCAUUGACUGAUACGCGACCACAAUUGCUUUGGCCUUGGCCACUGUCUCCCUUGGAUUUGGCUUUUUCCCCUCAAAGAGCAAUUUGUUCCUUGCGUGCCAGGUCGCCCACCAGAUAGAUGCAACAUAAUCAAUCUCAGACUUGGCCCCCUUCCUCAUUAGACUGUGCAUAGUACUCAGCAUAUCAUCCCUCCUUAUUGACUGUACUGCAGCCUCCAUAUCAGUGCAUCUCCAUAUUUUCCUAGCCAAUUUGCAUUCCAUAAGAGCAUGGAAUACGUCUUCUCUUCCCUCUUUGCAGAUUGUACAGAUUGGUUCCUGCAGUAUUUUCCUCCUCCAAAGGUUUUCGGCUGUUGGAAGGAAAUUUUUGGCUGCUUUCCACACAAAAAUUUUAAUUUUUCCUGGCAAGUUCAGUUUCCAUAGGUUCUGCCACUCCUGAGAAGCUCCUGCAGAACUUGUUGGUGGUUCGGGAAACUUAAUCUUGAGCGCUAAUUGAUAACCACUUUUUACUGAGUACAAGCCUUUCUUAUCAUAGUGCCAGAUUAUCUCAUCUUCUUGGGGGGUUCUCGGUAAAAGAAUACUCUUAAUAAUGUCAGCAUCCAUCCUUGCAAAGCUUUGGUUGAUCAUACUUUCGUUCCACUGCUGAUUUGGAAGGAUGAGUUCUGAAACUUUAGCUCCUGUAGGCAGAGAGGGUUCAACAAUUGGCUUAAAAGUUGUUGGCCUAGGUAUCCAGUUGCUCGCUUGAAUUUGUAUUUUCUCUCCAUUUUCUAUCCUCCACCUCGUACCCUUUUGCAGCACCUGUCUCCCUCAUAAAAUGCUCCUCCAAAUAAACGAUGGACUUGAGCCUACUUUAGCAUUUAAAAAGUCUGUGUUCUUGUAGUAUCUAGCUUUUAUCACCUUAGCCACCAAGGACUCUGGAUUUUGCAGUAAUCUCCAGCCUUGUUUUGCUAAAAGAGCUUGAUUAAAGCAUGAAACAUCCCUGAAGCCCAACCCCCCUCUGAUUUUGGCAUAGCUCAAUUUCUCCCAUUUUCCCCAAUGAAUUCCCUUCUUGUCUUCCUUGGAUCCCCACCAAAAUCGUGCCAUUGCUCUUUGGAUGUCAUUGCACAAUCCUAGAGGUAUUUUGAACACGCUCAUGGCGUAAGCUGGUACUGCUUGAGCUACAAAAAUUAUUUGGUCUGAAAGAAAAUGACUUUUGGGAAACAAACAGGCUUGACUUAAAGAUCCACGAAGGGAGAAGGCCUAGGCAAUUGGUCCAUUUAUGAUUAUGAAUUAGAGGUUCUUUAAUUUGGCGUGGAAAUUUCCUUUUGACAAUUCAACUGGUUUCGACUUUCGAGAAAGUCUUGUUUGUGUUUGUGUUGCAUAAUUAUUGCUUGGAGGCAUUUAGGUGUUAAGUAAUCCCAGCAAGAUUAGCAGAGAGGUAAAGGAGUUUCCUUGAUUGUCGCACUGGAAUUUAUUAAGCCUAUGUAUCAAUUGUUUGAUUAUUUUGAAUUGUGAAUUAGAAACACAAAAGAGAAUCUAUGAAGAAAACGCAUUGGAAUGAACAUUGUUGGAUUCGUGUCAUGUACAUGUGAUACACCUCCCAGCAAAUAUAGAGCUCUAUCAAUUUCACUACACGACAUAAUCUUUCAACCAUCCAGGGGUCUUCUCACUCGUGUGCCUGUGUACUGUUCAUUAGAGUUGCUUCUUCCUCAACAUGUAAUGUGGCUUCCUUCAUGGGCUGCUCAUAAUUGGACUCAUCGAUGGGCUGCCCUUCUUGUAAACAUUCAGGUUGAUCCAACUGAAUGUGGAAGGUUGUAUCAACAUGUGUAUUUUUUAGUACAUGAGAUUUGAUGAGGACAUUUUCACAAAUAUGACCAUAUAAAUUCAAAGAGAAGAUAUCAUUCAUCUUCAUCUUUGUUUCUGAAUGCCUUCAAAAGCUCAUUGCUUUUAUAUGCAGAGCAAAACAAGCUAACUUCUUGUGCUAUCUGGUUUCGUUGCUGCCUAUGGAUGUAGAAAACAGAGUAAAUAUGGUGGAUUUAGAAGAAAAGAUUACUAGCCCGUCAUAGUCUACUACUAAUUAAGGUUUUGAUUGAUAUUGAGGCUGGACAGUUGCAGUUUAAAUACUAUAACUUUAAAGUGUUUAGUAAACACUAACUGUUAUAACUUGAAAAUUAAGUUUUGUUCUUAUACUUGUAUUAUGAAAAACCUAUAAUAUCUUUACUUUUUUUUGUCAAAAUUAUUAUUUAGAAGUUGUAUUUACUAUAGAUUAUCAACUUAUAUUUCAUAAUUACAUUUUUUUUUUCUACAGAGUUGAAAGUUAUAGCAUUUCAAUAGCAAAUAGGACAUCCAUGCUAGUAUAGGAUGCAUCAAAGUUUUGUAGUUGGCUGCUUGAAAGAAUUUUUCUGGACAAAUUGUUAUCGGCUAAAUUCUAUACACUCGAAAACGUCAAAUGCCUCGAUUCAUUUCUCCCAUGAUAUAAGACGAAUUGAUUGUUUAAAUCAAAUGCUUAAGAUGAAUCCGAGAGGGAUUCAUCUUACCAAUCAACUUUGACUGGUUAACUUUCUUUCAAAAAUUCAGAUUCCCGAAUUUCAUUAGAACUUAACGCUAUUAUAUCUUUGUGGCUGAGUUUGAUUAUAGUGAUGGGAUUUUUUAAAAUCUUGCAAUCACUCCCCAUGAUCGCUGUUACUGCACAAAAUUUAGCUGCUAUCUCCAUGUGAAUAACGAGAUUCCGAAUCAUCAAGCUAAUUUUAUCCCAACACAACUUACCGAGCUAAUUGUAUUCGCACGUAAAAUGUUGUAGUUGCCAUCUUUAAUUUUUGCAUUCCUCACAAUUCUCAAACCUAAAUAUAAUUUGAGAAUACUUUUCUAUCUUUGCCCUUUGUUGUAAUCUCAAGCAACUGUAUAAUUUGAUAUGCAAUCCAAAGUCCUUAGAAGCGAUUUUAAUUGGUUUUUUAUUACUUGAUAAUUUGGGUUAGAUUGAGGAGAAUUUAAUUUAAUUUUUUUUUGGUGUGGUUCAUCACCUACUUUUUUUUUUAUUAUUCUAAUACGAACAAGAAACCAUGUAAUGAUUUCUUUAGGUUUUCAUAAUAUCAAAUCAAAAGAAGAAAAAAUCAUGUAAACGGCAAUUGCGUGAUAAAUUUUGCUUAAAAAUAAUUAGAGAAAUGGUAGGGUUAUUUAAACCCACUAAAAUACUUUCUGAACCCAAUUGUUUAUUAAAUCCAUUACUAAAGUUAAAAUUUUUAAAAUUUACUCUAUAAACUCACCUAAAUACCUAAUAUAUCCCUCUUUAAACUAAAACCUCUUUAUAACAUAGUUUACAGGAAAAACAAUGAGAGUUCUUUUCUAUUUUCUUUUUUCCUGAUCGAGUUAAAUAAUAAAAAUGUAUAAUCGCAGCCUCUGUUUCUUCCUGCGCAGGUGCACUGCAAUUUGGCUAUUUUUUUAUAACCGAAAAGUGCUUUUUUUUUUAAUUCAAAAAUUUAGAGUACACCACGAAUUAAAUUAAUUUGCUAUCACUUGGAUCUCAAAAUUUUAGGAUGCUUCAAAUUUUUGUUUGAAACAAAUUGCAUCAUUCCAACGAGAGAAUUGAAAAAUAUUUAAAUUAUAAGGAGAUUAUUUUUUAUUUUAUUAUUUUAUGAAUUGAAUUCUAAAGAGAUUUAAUUCAAAAGAGAAGAAGAAAUUUAAUAAAAUCCAGUAUCAACCACUGUAUACCCAAAUUACAAUUACUAGAACAACAAACAAAAGUUGGAAAGGCUCAACUUUGGAUGAGGGAUAAGCAUACUUCGAUUGUGCUUUGCGGUGGGUUCAAAGAGGGAAUAAAAAGUAAAAUAAUUUUAUAUAAUUAUUUUUAUCUAUAAUAGUAAUUUAGAUUAUGAGUAAUUAUGUAAUAAAAUUAUUAAUAAAAAAGUGAGUUUGAAAAGUAAUUUGGUAGGUUCAAAUACCAAAUUACCAAAGUAAUUUGGUGAGUAAUUUGGACAACUCACAGCUCAAUCUCGAUGAUCCAGAUUCAAGCCAAGGGCAUCAAGUUUAUGCUAUUAACGGUUAUCUGUGACUCUGUCACCAAAAUGUCACUCUCCUGCUUCUGCUGACAUUUUUUCCCCCCCUUAAAAGGGAAAGAAAAUCAACCAUCUAAUUCUCUUUUUCUCCGGGAAGCCGAAGGUUUGACAUUCCCUCUUCUUGAAAGCCUAAACACACAGAACGCUUAAAAGUUAAAACCCACAAACUCAUCACACAAACUCGUCUGUUGUUGAGACAAUAUUUUAUUUGUGAGGUUUCAGCAAUGGACGAAUUAGAAGAAGACAAUGGGUUUGAAGUGAGAGAGGAGCUCAUGAUUUCACCCAAUGGUGGUCCAAAGCCUACACAGAGACUUGGCCAUUUUCUCAAACCUUGCGUCAACUCCAUUAAAGGCCAAGUUUUUGAGCUUCCUACUCACUGUCUUUCCUCCUUGCCCCCCAUUUUUGAACCCAAAAGUUGGCCUUUAAAUGUAAACUUUCACGGAUGGAGGCCGCCGCAAAAGAAAUGGAAAGCUUGGGUUGGAAGGAUGGCUGCUCUGUAUGAAUCUAUAUGGAAGAAAGCCGGUAUACAUGAAGUAAUCUUGAAUUCGACGCAUGAAAUUUGGAGAAACUAUGAUUUGGUUCUUGGUCUUGCUGAGAAAUGGUGUCCGGAGACCAAAAGUUUCAUUUUUUCAUUGGGUGAAGCCACCAUUACAUUAGAGGAUACGAUGAUUGCAGGGUACUCUGUUUUGGGUUCCCCUGUUUUUAGCCCUCUUGAAACAGAUGAGCUGAUGGAAACACAGGAGAAAUUGAAUCAAGCUGUAAAGGAACUCAAUAGAAGUACAGCUAAGAAGCCGUAACAUGGUAAGUGGAUGGCUAAAUUCAUGGAUAGUGGAGCGAAAUUGAUCAUGAAGCCUUUCUUUCCCUGUGGCUGUCGAGGUUUGAUUUUCCAAACUUUAAUUCUGUAAUUAGCAGAUCUGUUUUUCCAAUUGCUGUAAAAUUAGCUAGAGGGACUAGAAUUGCACUCUCGCCAGCUGUUCUUUCUGGAAUUUAUAUAGAUUUGAGUUUUUUAAAAGAAAAUAUUGUUGCUUUAAGUUUGGUAGACAGUUGGGAAGAUGAAAAUAGGAAGUUAGAGAUUACUAUAUGGUCACCGUUUCGGUUAGUUCAAAUAUGGGCUAGGGAGAGGUUUAAAGAUUUGAGAUCUGAGCCUAGUUUGAUCAUGAGAGGUGAGCCAAGAUUUGCUCAGUGGCACAAAUUAAUGAUGAAAGAUGAGAAUGUGAGGAUGGUUCUAGUCUUCUUCUAGAUUCAUCCCUGGAGUGUUUUGACUGGCGUCCCUAUGCGAAAACUCUAAACAACUUGAAGCUGCCUAUGUUUUACGGAGAAAAGGAAAUAAGGGUACUGGUUGAUGGUGACUUGCCAGAGGAAUUACAAUCAUGGGGUCAAUGCUUGAGGGUUUCGGAGCUACUUGGGCUGGACUGUGUAGAGCAGUACCUACCGCAGAGAAUCACAAUGCAAUUUGGGAUGGACCAAGACCUUCCAGCUAGUGUUGCUCCAGCAAAUAAGAGUCCUAAAUCUGCAUGGAGUUCUUUCUGUAAGCCUGUCACUUAUGCCAAAUUGUACAUACCUUCCAGGCAUUACGAGGCAGGUGUUACCACCCGAUAUCUGAAGUGGUGGAAGAAAUCACUGUCACGUCUGCAAAGUGCAAGUGAUGGUGCUUUGCCACAAAAAAAGAAAUCCCUCGAUGUCUAAGAUAAUACCAAAGGGAUCAAAAGGAAAGAGAGAAAAUAGUUUCCCUGGUUUUAAACAGAUCCCUAAGAAAGCAAAGAGAAUGAAGAAAAGUGAUGCUGCUGCCUCUACUUGUUCUCAUUUUGCAUUGAAGAGCUUGGGAAGAUCACCAAAGUCAUUAAAAAGGAAGAACAGAAACAAUGAUAACAAUAAAGAUAAUACCAAAGGGAUCAAAAGGAAAGAGAGAAAAUAGUUUCCCUGGUUUUAAACAGAUCCCUAAGAAAGCAAAGAGAAUGAAGAAAAGUGAUGCUGCUGCCUCUACUUGUUCUCAUUUUGCAUUGAAGAGCUUGGGAAGAUCACCAAAGUCAUUAAAAAGGAAGAACAGAAACAAUGAUUUCUCUCCUGCCCUUGGUUGUCCUCCAAAGAAAGUUCAAAAGCUAGUUGAGCUUUCAAAACAAAAGAAAACUGAAUCUGCCCCUGUUGAAUUACCUUCAAAUAGGCCAUCAUUGUGUCUAGAAGUGAAGAAAGAUGCUAAUGACUCUCCUGUUCCUCCUUGUUUUCCUCCCAAAUCUAAUCAUGUGGUGACAACUGAUUCCUCUGAAGAAGAUAGUCUGACCAUAGCAGAACUAAUCAAGUCUAGGAAGAAGCAUGAUGGUUUGUGGGAUGAACAUGUUGGCAAUGCUGAAAAUCUGCCUGAUCAAUCUGAAGCUUAUUCUUCAAUUGCAGAGUGUGAAGUUGUUAAAGUUAUUCCGCCUGAGACAAAUUUGGUAUUGGGCUCUGGUGUCCAAAUUUUGUAUGGUGGAAUAUUAUAUGGUUAAAAUCUUUGGUUGCUUCAUUAGCUGAUGAUACAUACAUACUUUUGCUUCUUCUGUUGCAUGUUUUGCAUCUUUUAAUUGCUGGUUUGUUUCAGGGCAAUUACCUGUAAAUUAUAUGCAUAUACUGGAGUUAUAAUCAGCAGUCUAUUUAUCAUUUGGGUGUAAAUUCUUUUUGAGUGGGGCUGGAUUUCCAUUUCUACAGAAUCUAAAUUGUGAAGCUCCCCCGCAAUCAUAUCUUGAAUUUUCGCAUCAUACUAGAAAAUUUCUGCAACAAUGUUGGAUGGCAGUUGUUUUAAUUUUGAUCUAGGGGCAGAAAACUUUAAUACUAGACUUUAAUGCCAAGUGUUUGAUAGUGUCUAUUUAUUCUGUGAGUCUUUUAAUUAAUGUUUGAUAGAACAAAGUAAAAUAAAAUUUUAUAAAUAAUCCUAGUUAGAUAUCAUACAUAUUUUGACAGUUUCAAAUGUUUGAAUGGGUGACUUCAAAUAUUGGAGUCAACAAAUGACUCAAUACAAAUUCCUUCGCAUUUAUUGGCUGAUCAAAUUACAUAAGAAGAAAUUAAAAAAAAAAAAAGAAAAAAAAAGUUGUACGUAGGACGAAUAAACAAAAGCUUCACAAUGAAAACAUCUACCAACAUUUUCUCACAACCCAGAAAAUUUUGUUGCCAAGUCUAUCAAGGAAAUGAUAAUACCUAUACCUCCAUUUUCUACUGACAAGUAAAGGACCCAUCACCAACCAGAAGCCAACUACAAAUCCCAAUGCCAAGCUUACAUAGAACCAAUUCACUUCAUCUUCAUCACCAUCAUCAUUUCCAUCAAUAUCAUCUUCACUUUCAUUUUGUGGUGCGGGAGCAGCCACAAAACAGUUGUUAGGAAGUGGAGAACCACAGAGUCGAUUUCCAGCAAAAGAUGAGGGAUCAAAACUUUGAAGCUGUGUGCUUAAAGGAAUUUUCCCACUCAAUUUGUUAUUAGACAAGUUCAAAUGACUCAAAAAUGUCAAACUUGAAAUACUCUGGGGGAUUUCACCAUAAAGUUGAUUUGCAGAGAAAUCAAUAGACAAUAUUGAUUCCAAAGCACCGAUGCUCUUAGGAAUUCUUCCGGUGAAAGAGUUGCAAGACAAAUCCAAUGACACCAAUGCUCUGAGAUUCAUUAUUUCUGAAGGAAUCUCUCCUGAAAACUUAUUUUUGGAGAGGUCUAUAAGUCUUAUCAACUUAAGAAUUGUGUUAUAUUCAACUGCUUUUCCUUUCAGCACAAGUAAUGCAUCCUCAAUAUACUUUCCUGUGGAAACACUUGGAUAUUGUAUAUCAGUGCCUAUUGAAAAAUUGGCUGUCACCAUGGAACUAAUGUUACUGAUGCAUUUUGGUAUGCUCCCAGAAAGAUGGUUAUCAGCAAGGUCUAAGACAUGCAAAGAAGUUAGACCACAGAGUUGGUUUGGUAAAACACCACGAAACUUAUUUGAACGAAGGUUGAGGAUCAUUAAGCUUGAAAAUCUUAUUCCAAUCCAUGUUGGAACAUUUCCUACAAACUGAUUUUCGCCAAUGUCAAGCAUUACCAGCUUUGUGCAAUUCUGAAAUGACACUGGUAUUUGUCCGGAGAGAGAAUUUUUCCGAAGGUUUAAUGAUUGAAGGGAACUUAACAUUCCCAGAGAGAUUGGAAUAUUACCGGUAAAAUUAUUGUUGGCUAAAUUCAAGACCAACAAAUCUUGCCAAUUCAUCCAACAAUCAGGUAUUUCCCCAGAAAAAUGAUUUUCACCUAGUUUGAGAAUUCGCAUUCCCUUCAAUUGAUUGAUCCCAUCACACAAGAAAUGAGAAAUGGAUCCUGACAGGGAAUUGCUUGAAAGGUCAAGAGCAUACACACUGAAUGAAACAAGAGGUAAGGGACCGGAUAAAUUGUUGAAACUCAAGUCAAGUGACUCAAGUUGACUCACAUCAGUUAGAUUUGGGAUCUCCCCGUGGAUAUAAUUGUGAGAGAGAUUUAGAUAAUUAAUCUGGGAGAGAUUUUUCCAAACCCAAGUAGGAAUUGUACCUACAAUUCCUGUAUUGGAAAUAUCUAGAAAAGUUAAAUGCUUUUGUGAAUGAAGCCAUGGGGGAAAUUGAUUGCCUAACUCGCAAGAUUGCAAACCCAACACUUCAAGUUGAAAAGGGGGAAACCAAUCAAGACUGACAUUGAAGGUUAAUGAGUUACCAGACGCUUUGAAGUCCAGCAACCUCGUGAGAUUAGAAAAAUGAAUUUGAGUAAGGGUUCCAUUUAAUCUGUUCAAGGAAAGAUCUACAACUCUCAAUGUUGAAAGUUCACCUAAAGACAAUGGAACGUGCCCAGAAAUGAAAUUGUCACUUAGAUCAAGAGUGUCUAGAUUUCUAAAUUGCCCAAGUUUAUCAGUCAAAGGACCAAAAAUGCGGCAAUUUCGCAAAACCAAAAUCUCAAGCCCAUCAGAAACACAUCCUGAGAAAAUAUCAAAGAUUUCAGACAUCUCCUGACUCAAGUUGACUCCUGACAAAGAUAUUGACUUCAAAUUGCAAAGUCUUCCCAAAGAUCUUGGAAUUUUCCCUUCAAGCCUAUUCUUUGAGAGAUAAAGCCUAUUGAUAGAAGUAAGAUUUCCCAAUGCACCCGAAACCUUACCUUCCAAGCUAUUGGAGUUAAGAGAAACUUGCUCAAGAAGGCUAAACCUAUGGAACCAUUUGGGAACGGAAGAAUUAAAAUGGUUGUUGGACAAAUAAAGGUGUCUAAGGGAAGUCAAGUUCUGAACUCCAUCAGGAAUUUGACCGCCGAAACUGUUAUUUCUAAGAUCAAGAGAGACUAAAUUAUGAAGACCGAAAAUCCAAUUGGGUUCUAAAGAGCUUUGAAAUUGGUUAUUGGAGAGAUCAAGUGUGGCAAGAGAUGAAAAAUUUGCAACGGACAGAGGAGGAAAGUAAGAGAGACGACAACCUGAGAGCCGCAGCAAGACUAAGGAAGGGAGUGUGUUCAUAACAAGCAACCAGUCAGAAGCUCUGCUGAGGUCUACAUUGCUUAAGUCAAGGUGCUCCAAUGAAGAAAGACCGGAUAGCCACCUUAAAUUCUCAGCGUAUAAACCCAAGUAUUUCUGACUGAGGUCAAGAUACUGUAGAUUAGAGAGAUUUGCAAGUUGGUGAGGAAUCAUUCCUAAAAAUCCAGCACUUGAAAGAUCAAGGUAGCUUAAAUUCACCAUGGAACCAAGAAAUGGAGGAAUCUGAAUUCCUCCGAAGUCAUUAAAGCUUAAGUCCAAGUAAACCAAAUGCUUUAAAUUAAGCAAAGAGGGACUUAUCUUACCACCCAACAUUGAUAUCUGGGAAGGAUUAUUUCUGAGUUGAAGCAUACGGACAUGGCCUGUGAAGUUGUCACAGACAACACCAGCCCAUGUGCAGCAAUCUUCUUCAUCACCAAUCCAACUGGCAAGCCGGUUCGAAGGAUCUAUGAGAUCUUGCUUGAACCUUAAAAGUGCCUCUUUCUCACUCCCCAUGCAAGCCACAUAAGAGCUUCCAUUGCAGAAGCUAAUAUUGAUGGUUGCUAUGGCAAGUAAUAACUUGAGAAAAAGCAGGGCAGCAACUUCACUCAUGGUUGAAUGGUUUAAUUUCAUAAUAAUUAGAAAAUCGAUAGCAGUGAAUCUCCUUUGGUUACCAUACAAUAGGCUGUUUAUAAUGACCACGAUUUCCACGUAUAAGUUGUAGGAAGUUUCUGCGAGUAAUUAAAAUGCAGGAAAUUAUACAGUAUAUUCAAAGAAUUUUAAUUGUAAUGGGUCCAGAAGUAAAGGAGUAGACUUUUAAGUCUGUUCAAGAUUUUAUCUUUUUCGGUAAACCCCAACGUCUCUUCUGAUUCAGAAGUUCGAAAAUUUCGUAUAUCAUUUAAUAAUUGUUAAAAAUGGACAACAAUUGAACAUCAAUCAGUUGAUGUUAUUACAUGGGGUUAACAGGCCGGGUUGUUCUUAUCAAAUCCUUUCUUUAAGUUCUAUUAAUUCCAAAUGAUAUUGUUUCUUAAUUAUGUAAUUAUCAACUAUUACUAAUCGUUCAAUCUAAGUGUGGAAUUUUUCUUUUUUUUCCGUACAUUGAUAUUUGACAGUAAAAAUUCUACUAAUAUUAUCAGAUCUCUACUGAAACUAACUUAAAUCAUAAAUAUUAUGAUAUAACCUAGAGUUCUUCCUUCACUAUCGGGAGUUGAGUCCGAUGCUUCCUGGGACUUGGAGUCAAUACUAACAAGAAACUAUAUAUUUAUUUAUUUCUUUUUCGUGCAGGUCCCGCACUUUUUAUCGUAUUAGUUGAAGUUUUUGCUUUUGAGUGUGUAUUUUUAUAGACUCAAGUCAAGUCAAGGCUUAAUUAAUGUAUAACAAUUAUUGAAUUGUAUACUUUUAGAGUAAUUUCUGCAUAUGCAGUUAAGAAAGACUAAAUGGAAAAAUGCCAACCGGGAAACUCUACGUGAAGAUCAAAGAAACCACAAGGAAAGUCAUUACUCAUGACUUAUACAUAUAAAAUAAAUAAAUUAAUGGUUUCUUAUCAGUCAGUUGCAUGUAACGUGGACUGAUAUUAUGGCUAAGCCAUUUUAGUCCCCAACGACAAAAUUUAUGGCUUGUGGCUUGUUAUCAUCUCCUUUAUCAUAAGGUAAAUCGUUUUUGGGGGCCAAUAUGCUUAUAACUAAAUCGUCCCGAGGAUAUGAAUAAUGGUGAUUGGAAUUAGAUGAAGAAUUUGAAAAGAAUUUCAUCCUCCCAAAUCAAGAAGAUUAUGAGCUAAAAUUAAGACAAUUAUGACAUACAUAUUGCCAUAUUUCUUCCUUAAUUCUCUAUUGAUUGCAGCUGAGUUCUGUAAUUUGGCCUCCUUCCUGACUACUCAUUUUCUCAUUUUCCCUAUCUUUAACGGUUCUAAUUCUUAACCUGUAGUCCCAAAAAAAAAUAUAUGUUUUAUUCUCUAUAAUUUUUUUUAAUAUACUGACUCUUUUGAACUUCUCCAAAUUUAAUUAUAUAAACUAAUCCGCAAAGUUUAUCACCAGUCAAACAAGACGCAUCGGAGCUAUGCAGUACAAAGACGAUUUUUUUUUUUUUCUAAUUAAGUUGUUUUCUAGAUAAAUUUCAUGUAGAUGAGAGGGAAUUGAAUUGCCAUAAGCAUAUUAAUAUUUUUAAACAAAAAGUGUUUUUAUUCGAGCCAAUGCUCUGCUACUCCCCUUCUUCUUCUUUUUUUUUUUUUUUUAAAUUUUAAUGUUACCCAUCUCCGAACAUACAAUUGAAGUACGAGAAAAAUUUUCCCAAAAAUUAAGAAACAGGAACUAUUACAACUCCAACAAUAUAUUCUCACAACAUUGUUGAGCAUCUUUUAUUGAGAAAUAAGAGCAAUUACACUCCAAAAAUCAGCAAUAUAACUCCUAGUAACAAGCUGACAUUAAGCCAGCUCAGUUCAUGUUUUCCUCCUGAUCCACGUUCGUAUACAGGUGUUGAAACAUUCCCCGCACACAAUUUUCGAAGUGGAAGUCCACACAGAUAUUCGUUGCCGAUAUAAGAGUCUGAAUCAAAGGUAGCAAAUUGACCUUGGGCAGGAGGAACUUCCCCGCUCAAGUUGUUAUACGAUAUGUUGAAGAUUUCUAAAAACUCCAAAUUUACCAUAUUCUUGGGGAUUUCACCCUGGAGCCGGUUAGAAGAGAAAUCAAGAGCCUCUACUGACUUCAUAGCACCCAUAUUCACUGGAAUUCUUCCACUGAAGAAGUUAUGUGACAAUUUCAAUGUCUGUAGCCCUACAAGAUUCGUCACUUGGGAUGGAAUCUCUCCUGAAAAAUAAUUGGCUGAAAGGUCUAAAACUUUAAGAUAAUAUGGAUAGCCUAUAGGGUAUUUGACCACUUUCUUUUUGUACACAAUUAGUGCAUCUUCAAAAAAUUUGUCUACUUCAAGAACUUCCUUGGCCAUACCUGCUAAGUUAUUGAUACAUCUUGGAAUAACACCGGUAAGAUUGUUAGAAGAAAGGUCUAAAAUUUGUAGAGAAGCUAAACCACAGAGUUCCGGCGGAAAAAAGCCAUGAAACAGGUUUGCCCUAAGUGACAGAAGUAUUAUUCCUGAUAAUCUCUCUCCAAUCCAUGUUGGAAUGUUUCCCACAAACUCAUUUUCGCUAAUGUCAAAUAAUCUUAACUCGGUACAGUUUUGAAGUGACACUGGUAUUUUUCCAGAGAACCUGUUACCGCGAAGGUGCAGUAUCUGAAGGGAGCUUAAAGUUCCCAGCGACGUUGGAAGGUUGCCGGUGAAAUCAUUUUCACCUAAAUGGAGGAAGAACAAGAAUGACCAAUUCAUCCAACAAUCAGGUAUUUCUCCGGACAAAGUAUUGUUCCCCAGGUUGAGAACUUGCAAUCUCAUUGAGUUAUUCAUCUCAUUGCAUAAAAACCUGGAAAGGGUUCCUGACAAGAAAUUGCUGGAGAGGUCAAGUGCAGUUAAACUGGAAGGUAUGAGAGGCAAAGGACCGGACAGGCUAUUGGAACUCAAAUCAAGUGUUUCAAGCUGGGCAGCAUCAUUUAAAUCUGGAAUCUGUCCGAAGAUUUGGUUAUAAGAAAGAUUCAAGUAAUUUAUUUGAGAGAGAGAUUUUACUAGCCUAUCAGGGAUGGUAUCUGAAAUGCUUGAGUUGGACAAGUCUAGAUAAAUUAAAUGAUUUUGUGAAAGAAGCCACUGCGGAAACUGAGGCCCAAUAAAACAAGAGCUCAAUCCUAUUGCUUGAAGUUGAAAUGGAGGGGUCCAACUAGGACUGACGACUUUCAACACUAAGGAGUUCCCGGAUGCAUCAAAACCCACAAGUUUUGUGAGAUUUGCAAAAUGAUUUUCGGAAAGAGUUCCAUUCAAAUUGUUUGUAGAAACAUCUAGGUAUCUUAGAGAUGAAAGUUGCCCUAGAGAUAAUGGAAUAUGACCAGAUAUGUUGUUGAAACUUAAGUCCAGAGAAUCCAAAUUUUUAAAGUUCCCAAUUUGAUUAGUCAAAAGACCAAAAAGCGUAUUGUUACUCAAAUCCAAUGACUCUAGUACAUUUGAAGCACAUGCUGAGAACAUAUCUAAGACUUGAGAUAUCUCCUGACUCAAUUUGUUACCUGACAGGUUGACAGACCUUAAGUGACGAAGUCUUUUGAAUGCUCUUGGAAUUUUGCUUUCAAGUCUAUUGAAUGACAGAUCAAGGCUUUUUAUGGAGGUUAGGUUCCCUAGAGAACCUGGGAUGGAACCUUGCAACUCAUUGUAGCUGAGAGACAGGUACUCAAGAUCAAUGAACUUGUUGAACCAGUCAGGCACAGAGGAGCUGAAGUGGUUUCGAGAUAAAUCAAGAUGUUGGAGAGAAGUGGAGUUUUGAAUUGCAUCAGGUACUGCACCUUGGAAAUUAUUAGUGCUCAGAUCCAGAAAAACCAAAUUAACAAGGCCAAGAACUUGAUUAACAAUCGAAGAGUCGGCGAAUUGAUUAUCAGAAAUAUCAAGAGUAACAAGAGAAGAGAAAUUGGCAAAAGAGAGUGGAGAAAUGUGAUGCAGUAGACAACCUGAGAAACGCAACGUUUCCAAAGAAUGGAGUGAAUUUGUGAUCAGUGGUCCAUCAGAUGUCUUGCUAAGAUCCACACCACUCAAAUCAAGGUGCUUCAACAAAGAAAGAUGAGAUACCCAACCAAAAUCCUCAACGUAUAAUCCACCCAAGUAAUUAGGACGAAGGUCAAGAAAUUGGAGAUUGGAAAGAUUACCAAUUUGGUGUGGAAUAAUUCCAACAAAUCCAGCUCUAGAAAUGUUCAAGUACAUUAAAUUCUCCAAAGAACCAAGAAAUCGAGGAAUUUGGAUCCCUUGAAAAUCGUUGUAGCUCAAGUCCAAGUGAAUCAAAUGCUUUAAACCGAGCAAAGACGGGUUUAUCUUACCAACAAUUUUUGACCUCUCAUAAGCUUCAUAUUCAGCAGGUGAUCCGUCAUCUCUGGAAGGAUUUCUGAGGCGGAGCUCAAGGACAUGGCCUGUGAUGUUGUCACACACAACACCAUACCAUUUGCAACAAUCUCCAACGCCAAUAUUAUUCCAAGAGGCAAGCCGGUUCGAAGGAUCUUCCAGAUCUUGCUUGAAGCUCAGAAGUGCUUCCCUCUCACUCUCAAUGCAACCUGCUGCAGCAUAUGAGCUUCCAUUGCAGAAGUUUAUGUUAUUAUUAAUGGUUGAUAUCACCAGAAAAUGGAGGAAUAGAAGGGCAACACCGACACUCAUGGUUGGUUUGUUUGAUUUCUUGAUAACAUGAACAACAGAUUGCUAUUUUAUUUAUAGUAAAUUAACAUCUCAUUUUCAGCUUGCAGGAUGCGGGAAAUUUCUUUCCCGAUAACUUAAUUCGUUUUCUGUUCUAGUUAAAGACAAGACUAAAGACAUCAAUAUUUGUAGUCUUCGUUGACUUAAUUUUAUAUUCCAACUUGAACACUCUGUUUCAACUUAAUAGUAACUAAGAUUGAACACCCUGUUUCUUUCUUUUCUUUUUUAAUAAUUCUUUUUCAUAAAAUAUGAAAUUCUGGAAAUGAAACCCAAAGCUUUUGAAAUUUCCUAGACCUAGAAGUGGGACCAAAAGCAAAUCAUCUUUAACAUCUGGAGGCAAAGUAAGAUCAAGGAAAUUUCCUUGAGAAAUUUGAGUGAUGCAGAUGGUGGCUUGAUAAAUCAACACGAAACAUUUAGACAGCCUUGAUUAAAGUGAAAACUCCAUUUCUGGUCAAUAACCAAUUGAAUGGAAAAGUUUGUGAAAUUCACUUUGCAAAUCUCUCAAGUCUAAGUUUGUGAAAUUUGUUAAUUUUCAUCAAUAAAUAAUAAUUAACUUAAAUAAAUGAUUCAUCAUAUGAAAAAUGAUUUUUAAUAAUUAAAAAAAUUAAAUAUUUAGUCCAUGAAAUAAUAAUUGCUAAUUUAUCGUUUUACGUAGAACACUUUAAAUUAUCUCUGUAACUAAAUUAUUAUCAAUCAAUAAUACGACAUGUCAUCUAUUUUCUUAUCAUAGAAACAACACUUCAUACAAAUCCUCAAAAAUAUAUGACAUGCCACCCAUAGGAAGAACUUACAAAACGUGAGAUCAUACAAUCUUAACCCAUGUAUGAGUUUUACAACGCGUCAUCUAUGUACUAAAACUAUACACAACUUGUCGUGCAGAAUUCGUAAAUUGCACCAGAUGUCAACUUUAUGACAAGUUCAAAAUGACAAGUCAUACAGUUUUCUUUUAAGAGUAAGGUAGCGGUUGUUUUUUAACUUAAUAAUUUAAAGUGAUUUGAUUUAAUUAAUUAAGUUAAUUAGAGGUGUUUGUUUUUAGAACUUAAUGAUACUUUUUUGAUAAUUUUGACUUAAUAAAAUAAACCAAUUUUUUUGGCUUUUUACUUAAUGGAGAAAUCUUAAUUAAAUCAAUUACUUGCUAAUGUCAAAAAUAUCCCUACUUUAUAAUUUAUUUUUCAUGGCUAUCCCAAAACUCACCCAUAGACAUUUACCCCAAAUAAAAAUAUCCAUGUUUUUUCUUUUUUAUAUUAUAUACGAUAAAAUUUGAAAUUUAUGGUAUUUUAUAUAUUAAAAUUCUAAAAUAAUUAUGUAUUCACUUGAAUAUAGUUUUACUUAUAAAUGUUAAAAUAUUGUAGUAUUUAAUAUAUUAUUUAUUUGACAUUCAAAUUUAAUAAGGAUACAAAUGUAAAAGUACAUAUUUUCAACUUUUUAAGUAAAAAAAAAAAACUUAAUACUUAUUUUUCGAGAUUCAAACGAAAAAACAAACAUAUUAUUCAGAUUCAGAUAUUCAGAUCUAUUCAUAAUUUAGAUUAAUUCAGGUCUAUUCAGAUUUCAAACAAAAAAACAAACGCCACCUAAGUAUUGUGUGGCUGUGGUGGUGGCCAUGGCACGUCAUCUUUGCAAGAACUGUGCUACUGUCGUCCCGGAUGAUCCUGAAGCUUGGUCAUAAUAAUUUAGUUAUAGAGACAUUUUAAAACAGAACUUAGAACACGAUCUGUAUAGUAAUGAAUAUCCCCAACAAGAACAGUGGAAUGUUAAAAGUAAUUUUUUUUUUUUUUGGUUGUGUUAGACCAAAAUAUGAAAGGUCCAAACUCAUGAAAAAUAUAGGCCCAAUGAAAUUAUUUAAUAUAAAAUAACUCAGGCAUGUUCUCUAUAUGAACGACCAAGAUACUAACAAUUCUAACUAAAGUGUCUAAAUGCAAGACACGACAAAAAAAACCAAAAGCGUGAUUCAACAAAGAACGACCUAGGUCCAUUCUUGACAAAGAACGACCUAGGUCCAUUCCUCGCAAAGAACGACCUAGGUCCAUUCCUCGCAAAGAACGAUCUAGGUCCAUUCCUCGCAACGAACGACCUAGGUCCAUUCUUUACAAAAAACGACAUAGGCACUUAGAAAAUAUUUCUAAGUAAAACGUUCAAAUGGCGAGUUUUCAAAAAAGUGCCAAAGACAUGAUUUAACAAAGAAUGACCUAAGUCUAUUCUUUACAAAGAACGACCUAUGUCCAUUCCUCGCAAAGAACGACCUAGGUCCAUUCCUCGCAAAGAACGACCUAGGCACUUAGAAAAUAUUUCUUAAUACGCCUAAAGGGCAAGGCUUUGGCAAAAUGUCAAAGGCAUGAUUUAACAAAGAACAACCUAGGUCUAUUCCUCCUAAAGAACGACCUAGGUCCAUUCAUCACAAAAAAUGACCUAGAUACUUCGAAAAUAUUUCUAAAUAAGAGCACACGAGCUACUUGAAAUGGGCCUACGGGCAAAUGCGGAAUGGGCUUACAGGCAAAUACAGAUUCUACGGAAUGCGCCUCCGGACAAAUACAUAUUCUAUGGAAUGCGCCUACGGGCAAAUACACAUUAUACGGAAUGGGCUUACGGGCAAAUAUAGAUUCUACGGAAUGCGCCUCCGGACAAAUACACAUUCUACGGAAUGCGCCUACGGGCAAAUACACAUUAUACGAAAUGAGCUUACGGGCAAAUACACAUUCUACGGAAUGCACCUUCGGGCAAAUACACAUUCUACGAAAUGCGCCUACGGGCAAAUAUACAUUCUACGGAAUGGGCCUAUGGGCAAAUACACAUUCUACAGAAUGCGCUUAUGGGCAAAUAUACAUUCUACGAAAUACACAUAUGGGCAAAUAUAUGCAUUUUACGGAAUGCGCCUACGGGCAUAAUGCACUUACAGGCAAAAUGUUGCAAAAUCAAUCUUCUUUGUAAGGAACGAAUAUAAGUGCCGAAUUUAAGUUAAAGUCCAUUAAAGGUUAACAGCCCAAAAACAUGACAAAUGUCCAAAGAUUAUUUGUCAUGAACAAGCUUGACACAUAAUGACAUGUGUCUUUAUGCAUGAGUUUUGCAAACACUUGUCACUAAGACAAUGCCACGUGUCAUGAUGGCACCUCAACCUCAUAGAUCAAAUUGCCUAUAUAAAGACCAAGACUCCCCAUUUGAAGGUAAGAGAAAAAGGGUAAGGAAAUGUUGUCAUUCUCUCUCUAAAUUCUCUCUUUACAAUCAAAUUUAAAAGGCUAACUUGAGUAUCGGAGGGUUAUUGCCGACAACCCCAGCACCCUUUGAUAAUUGUUUCUUUUUGCAGAACAAUUAACGACAAGGAGACAUGUAAUUUGAGACACUCGCCUCAAGGAAAAAAUAAGCCACAGAACUCGAUUUUGAAGAAAGCCCGAAACACAAAUCAAUCGCUGUACAUUGAGCAAAAAUUUUGCAUCAACAGGUUGAAAACCUAAUUACGUGAACACAAAUUUCUAAUCAUAUUGUCGAUCAUCCUAUGUAUGUCCUAUGACUUCAGUGAUAUUUUACACUAAUAUUUCGUAAGAAAACCAUGUCACAAUACAACUGUUAUUGUCUAAUAAAAUUUUCACUGGUGCAAAGACGUUCAAUUAUAUCAGUUAAUCAUUUGUGAUUAAUUAAUAUUGUGUGAUUCUGUGAAAAGAAAUAAUAAUAACAUCGUGUGUUAUGUUAGACAAUAUAUAGAUUUAUUAAUGCACCACACAAAUUUUUACUAUUUAUAUCAUCUUAUUGUGUUUAACGAAAAAUAAUCUUAUGGAAUUUUGAAAUAUUACUCAAGAUAUUUGCCUGACAUAUUUGAGCAGGGACUAUCACAUCAAUUAACAUAUUACAGAAUAUUAAAAUUAAUAAUACAAUAAUAAGAAUUUUAUGAAAUGAAUUAAAGUGUUGAAUGCUUUAUGAUCCUUUAACGAAAAAUUAUCUUAUGGAAUUGUUUUAUUUUGUUUGUUGGAAUUUUUUUUUUAAUUGUACCUAUUCAUAUCUUUUUGGUGUUUGUCAAUCGGCUAAACAUAGUUAAGAAAAGAGAUAUUAUUAUUGUUAGUCUAAAAGAUAGUCGAAGGUAUUAAAUACUUUCUAUCAAGGAUUAAAUCCAGACUUUGCAUUGUUGUCGUGUGAUUUUUAAUAAAGAUUUAAUUUGGUUCGAAUUUUUAAAGUCCUCUUUUCCAAUGUUUGUUAUGUUUUCGAAUACAGUUCCAGCAUAUCCUUUGUGUAAGUGGUCAUAAAUUAUGGCAUUCAUAGUUGUGCAGUAUUCCUAAGUAAAAUUACUCAUUCAACUAUAGGAUCAGGAUUCUCUCAUGAUCUGAUCAUGUUCUGAGCAAAUAACUCAAUCACUGAUUGGGUGUUAAAAAAUAAAAAAGUGAAAAAAGUUAAAUCUUAUCCAUACACUACCAUUAAAAGAUACAUGAUAAAAAAAUCAUUAAAAACUCAAUAAUGCUCAGAUCAGGAGAAUAUCCUGAUCCUUCAACUAUAAACUUUCUAAUUAGUCAUAAAUCAAUAUAAGUGGUGGGUUUUAGUAUUAAUUUAUAUUUCAUGACACAUUAUAUAAUAUUAAACAUCAUGAAAGAGAUUUCUCUUAUUUUUAUUUUAUUGUUAUUAUUGUUUUUAAAUAAGCCAUUGCGUACCGUCUAAAAAGAAAAAAGAAAAAAAGAAAAAAGGCCAUUGCAUAGUGAGGUAGAUAAAUGCAGUCGUCUAUGGAUCAAUAAAUGCAGCCAUCUCCCUUGAACUUACUCGCUCUAGCCCACAACCUCAUACAGCCCAGACCUAAAUUUGUUAUGGGCAUCGCCGCUGAGUUUCUCAGAUUGAAUAAUCCCAACUCAAAUAGAAAAUAAUAUCUCUAGACGAGAUACCCACCUAAUAUUUUUUAUAUAUUAUUUUAUUAUUAAGAUUUUUUUCACAAUUAUAUUUUUAUUACGUGAUAUUUCAAUUGUUAUCAUUUUACUACCAAAUAAUUAAUUUCUUUUAAAAAAUGAUGUAGUCACAAGGCUGUUUAGUGUAUUUUAAUUUGAUAAAUUUAAACAAUAGUGAUAAUUUGAUAUAAACUGAAAAAGAUAAAUAGUAAUUUAAUAAUUUCCCAUAAUUCAGGUGGUAAGUAGAUAAAUUUUCAAUAAAAUAAAAUAAUUAUUUAGGAUUAUUAAAUUAAUUAUUGUAAUUGAUAUGUACUUAUUAAAUUGAUUAGCUAAAUACAAAUGUUAAAAGAACAAGCAACCAAGAUAAAAUAGUUUUCUUAAAAUAAUAAUUUAUUUUUAUAAAAUUUAUUAUAAUUUAUUUUGAUUUAUUAAAAAUGAUAUAAAAUAAAUAUUAUAAUAACAUUAUUUUAUUAAUAUAAGCAGUUAUUUUCAAAAGUUUUAAUAUUGAAAAUAUUUUUUAGAUUUUUUUUUAAUUUUAGAGGACAAAAUCAUUUAUCUAAGCACUAAGGGUUAAAAUAGUCUUUUAACAAAACAAUUAUUAAAUAUUCUAUUAUUUUUAAUAUUUAGUGGUAAAAUGUAAUUAUCAGAAAAUUUGAGUGAUAAAAUAAUAUGUAAGAAAACAUUAGAUAAAUAUUUCUGAGUAUCCUUUCUAAAUUGAAACUUUGAAUUCUAAUAAUUAUAAAAGUUUGAAGAAUUUAAUAUUUUGUGUUGGUUAACUUUAUUAUGGAUCUGUUAAUAUUGUAAUACUGAUUAAUAAAUGAAAUAUCACACAUUCCACCAAAUUUACAACUAAUAUAUAUAGUAUAUGUGGUACUAAAAAGAUGGCUAAAUUAAAUAGUAAUAGUGGAGGGAGGAGGGUAUUUCGUUGUGACAAAUGACCCUUCUAUAAUAAGUAUAUGAUGCUUCCACUGCACAGAAAAAAUUUCGACUUUAAAGAAUACAAUUUCAGUGAUCAACAUUCAAGUUUCAAGCCCACGAAAUUUAAGUUCUAUGCCUCAAGAAUGGGGACUGUGAGUCUGACCAAAAGUAUUCUUUCACACGAAGAAACCUAUUUAAAUAUUAAAGAAUGAAAAAAGGAAAAUCAACCAUUCAAAUCUCAAAAUGCUGACACUGUUUCUUCAUAUUUAACUCCAAUCUCCUUUUUUUGGGAAGCAAGAGGCUCUAUAGAUUCCCUCUUUUUGGAAAGCCACAAACACUUAUUAUAUAACCCACAAACUCAUUUCUCAUUUUCUUGUUCACAAAUAAUUCAUUUGUGAAGUUUCGGCAAUAAUGGAGGAAUUAGAAGAAGAGCACGGUUUUGAAGUGAGAGAGGAGUUCAUGAUUGCACCAAAUGGUGCUGCAAAGCCUUCAAAGAGACUUGCCUGUUUUCUCAAACCUUGCGUAAACUCCGUUAAAGGGCAAGUUUUUGAGUUUCCUUCAGAUUUUUUGUCCUCCUUGCCACCCACGUUUGAACCCAAAACAUGGCGUUUAAAUGUAAAUUUUCAGGGAUGGAGGUCACCGCAAAAGAAUUGGAGAGCAUGGGUUGAAAAGAUGGCUCCUUUGCAUGAAUAUACAUGGAAGAAAGCUGGUAUAUAUGAUGCAAUUUUAAAUUCAACGUAUGAAAUUCGGAGAAAUUAUGAUUUGAUUGUUGGGCUUGCUGAGAAAUGGUGUCCCGAGACUAAAAGUUUCAUUUUUUGUUGGGGUGAAGCUACAAUUACUUUAGAAGAUAUGAUGAUUGCAGGGUACUCUGUUUCGGGUUCCCCCGUUUUUAGCCUUCUAGAAACAGAUGAGUUAUUGGAAACAGAAGAGAAGUUGAAUCAGGCAAGAACGGAACUUACUAGAACUGCAGCUAGGAAGGCAUACCAAGGAACGUGGUUGAAGAAGUUCAUGGACAGUGAAAGUGAAAUCGAACAUGAAGCUUUUCUUGUCUUGUGGCUGUCAAGGUUUGUUCUUCCAAUCUCCUCUAGAGUAAACCGUGUAAUUAGCAGAAAUGUGUUUCCUAUUGGUGUACAUUUAGCGAAAGGCACUAGAAUUGCACUUGCUCCAGCUGUUCUUGCUAGCAUUUAUAUUGAUUUGAAUUUGUUUAAAGAAAAGAUUGCUUCUUUAAGCGUGGUAGACAAGUGGGAGGACAAAGACAGUAAGUUAGAAGUUACUACAUGGUCUCCGUUCCAGUUGCUCCAAAUGUGGGCAUGGGAGAGGUUUACUGAUUUGAGACCAAAGCCUAAUUUGAUUAAAAAUGGUGAGCCAAGAUUUGCUCGGUGGCACAAAUUAAUGAUCAAUGUUGAGAAUGUGAGGACAGUUCUGGAUUCAGCCCAAGGGAGUUUUGAUUGGCGUCCCUACACAAAGCCUCUAAACAACUGGAAGCUGCUUACGUUUUAUGUAGAAAAGGAAGUAAGUGUAUCAGUUGAUGGUGACUUGUCUGAAGAAUUACAAUCAUUUGCUAGAUGCAUGCGUGUCUCGGAGCUAGUUGGGUUUGAAAAGGACUGCAUAGAGCAGUACCUUCCACAUAGAGUAGCAAUGCAAUUUGGGAUGGACCAAGACCUCCCAGCUUGUGUGGCUCGAGCAAAUGACAGUCCUGAACUAGCAUGGAGUUAUUACUGUAAGCCUAUCACUUACACAAAUUUGUGCAUACCGUCUAGGCAUUAUGAGGCAGGUGUUACCACCCAAUACUUGAAGUGGUGGAAGCAAUCACUGUCACAUUUGCAAGGUGCAAGCAAUGGUGCUUUGCCAGAUAAAAGAAAGUGCUGGAGUUCUAAGAUAAUUCCAAAGAGACCAAAAGGAAUGAUAGAGGGUAGUUCCAUUGGUUCUACAAAGGCCCAUAUGAAAUUGAAGGGAAAGAGUAAAGGGGAUGCUGUCCCUACUAGCCCUCAUUUUUCUGUGAAGAGCUUGGAAAGAUCACCAGAGACAUCAAAAAUGAAUAUCAAUGAUGCUGAUUCCUCUUCUCCUCUGGGGUGUCCUGUGAAGAAAGAUAAAAAAUUACUUGAGUUUUCAAAAGAAAAGAAAAGGGUUAGUGGUGGAUCUGCCUCUGCCGAGUUACAUUCAAAAAGGCUAUCACUGAGUCUAGAAGUGAAGAAGGAAGCUAAUGACGCACCUGUUCCUCCUGGCUUUCCUCCCAAAUCUAAUUUGUUGGCGGCAAGUGAUUCCACUAGUGAAGAUAAUCUGACCAUUGGAGAACUUCUCAGGUCUAGGAAGAAGCAUGAUGGUUUCUGGAAUGAAGAGGUCAGUAGUGCUGAAAGUUGGCCGAGUCAAUCUGACACUCUUUCUUCAACUGCCGUGUGUGAAGUUGUUAGAGUUUUUGAACCACAGUUGCAGACAGAAUUGGUGGAAAAGAGUAGAUGGAAUGAACCAUCAGAAAUAUCUAUUGAAGAUUCAACUGAGAUUCAAUUGGUUAAUUCAGCUCAUGAUUUGGUGAGGAUGCAGGGUGGUGAUAGAGAUGGCAACAUUAAUGACAAUGAGAUAAGUGAGAGACCUGAAUUGCAUCUUGAAGAGUGGGUUAGUAGGCUUGAGAGGAUCGUUGCAAAGCUAAAAGCCAAAAGAUUUGGACAUACAGGCCAGCUUUAGUAUCAGCGUUCACUCAUCUUCUAUUUAUAUAGUUUUACAACUUUAGCUACACAUGUCAGAUUCGGCCACUGCCAUUUUGCUUUGGAUGAUGACGAAUUAACAACUGUGCAGAAUAGCCUUAACCGCUAUGAAAUCUGAUAAGUACUGUGGUUUUGUAAUAUUUGCUGAAGAAAUUUGAUGUUCAGCACGUCACUUAUGUUUCCUAAGCAGCCACACAUAAUGUGUGUGUUAUUUGCAAAUUUAGAUUCAGCCGAGUAUUCUCCUUUGUGUAUCUGAGAUCAAUGUCUGAAUUUCUCAGUUGAAAUGCUCCCUCUGCCUAAAAUUGAGCUGCUGAUGAUAUACAUACAUGCUUUUGCUUCUCCUAUUUCAAAUUUUGGCUCUUUAACCACUGGUUUCUUAUAGGGGAACUAGCUGUAGAUUAUAUGUAUAUGGUGGAGUUAUAACCAGCCGUAUGUUUAUCAUUUGACAGCAAAUUCCCUUCAAGUUAGACACGGAUUUCCAUUUCUUGAGAAAAUGAUGUAUUGAAUCCUUGUAUCAUACUGCUGUAAUAACUUUCAGCAACAAUUAUUGAUAGCAUUGUUCAAGUACAUGUAUCCUUGUCUCACCUUUCAUUAUGCCUUUAAGAGAAAGACUUAAUAGACCCUGAGAAUUGAAAAAACAAGAAAUUCUCAACCUUCAUCAUGGUCUCAAAAAUUGUUUGCAGAAUUGAACUGAUCAUCAGCUCACAAAUAGCAAUUCUAGCGAUGGCUUUUCCAAGCAUGAAUCCUAAAUCAAUGUUCAUAAGAAUUUCCAUCAAGCUGAGAUCUCACUUGUGUGUUACUUUAUAUUCCUGCUAAGUGAUACUUGCAGCACUGAUCAUGUGAGAAGGGACACCUGAGGAGUUACUUAUGCUGCUGACUUGUUCCAAGCUUGGCGUUGAGCCUCCUGAUAAAAAGCUUUUGAUCAGUGCGACGGCAAGUUUGGGUCUGUGCAAUGGUACCUGCAUUGAUGACCACAACAUAUUAUGGUCAAUGCAUUUAUUUUAAUGCAAAACAAAACAAGGUUGGCUCAGUGGCUGGGAUGCAGUAGUUUGAUCCAUUCUGUUGCAUAAUUGAAGCAAAGAAAGAACAUAUAUGGCCCACAGGCUAGUGGGGAGGCUCAAAUCUUUUUCUAGUACUACAUUUAGAAACGGGGUUGACCGGGAAAGUAAAGAAUCCUGACAAUAAAGAGGUUUUAAGGGGGAAAAAUUUGAAAAAAUGAAAUGAAAUAUGGAGAAGGAAAAUUAUCUCAUAUUUCCCCCGAGGUUUGACAAUUUAUCACUUAGAUUAUCUUUCACUCAAAUGUACUAGGCACUCACCUUGAAUCUUGAAACUAUUUAUUAAACAACUUGCAUCCUUUAACAAAAUCUAGCAAAAAGACUAUUACAACUGUAAUAUAAAAUGAAAGCAAUGGCUAAUUAUUGAAUUAGAAAAUAAUUUACACUUUUUCUUUUGAGAUUUAUGUGAGAUAAACUAGUGGAAAUUCCCAACAAAUGUACUCCAUGCAUUUUUAAAUAAAAUAUCACCUUGUAUUAUGAUUGGUCAAUUAAAAUGGGUGUGUAUCAAAAUGUUAUUAGACAGAUGCACAAAUGACGUAUGGUGUGCUUAUUACAUGUAUUAUGUCCUCAUUUUUCUCAAACUUAUUUCAUCAAACCUGUCAUGGGCAAUUCCUAAUUAUUCUCAUUUCAACUUUCAAGUACCAUCUUGAAAUGUUUACAUAUGUAGUUCUCUACACAUGACUUUACUAGAAUCCAACUGAAAGUUCACCUCAACAAAAUCUCAACAAUCCCCAAUGUGUCUCUAUUUUGACUAAGUUUCACUGUAAUAACAACUCAACAUAAUUCUCCCACAAGAAAAAAAGGUAACAAUGAACACCAAAAGAAGUUUUUCUCUCUUUGUCUUCCUAGUGUCCACCAACCCAACACUUAAAUUAGAGCCUUUUAAGAUAAUUAGUUUCAAUGUUGUAAACAAAUUAAUACACAAUUAUAAAAAGGGAAAGGUUGAUUUCAAUCAAAUAAUUUUAGGGGUCCUAACCCAGAUUUCCGUUGAAUUUAAUAUUUAUUUUCAUUGCUAUUGAAGAACUUAAUGCCCAAAAUUCUUCUAUAAAGUUGAUAGACAUUAGACAGUCGGCACUAUGAUUCUCAAAACCUCAGGGGCACCAUGUGAUAAUUAACCUAUUGCAGAAUAACCAACUUAUAGGCGUGAGCGUGAUGACAGAUGUUAGUACUAUGUAAGGGCAGUUCCUCUGAUCGCUGGUUAUUUUCUUUCUGAAAAAGAAUUCAACCACUCACAAAUGCUGCCGCAGUCCCUUCUUCAAUUUCCAACUCUAUAUAUAUUUCUUGGAAAGCCAAAUUGUUGACCAAAAUCUGUGAUGCAAAGUUUCCUCACAUUCUCCCUUUUGCAAAAGCUAUAAACAAACACAACCCACAAGCCCAUUGUUUGCAAACACAUCAUUUGGGAAUUUCGGCAAUGGAUUUAUCAACCGACAUUGGUUUUGAAAUUAGAGAGGAGCUCAUGGUUUCACCAAGUGAUUGUGCCAAGCCUACAAAGAGACUAGCCCAUUUUCUCAAACCUUCGACAAACUCCAUUGAAGGGAAACUUUUUGAGCUCCCUUCACACUCUCUUUCCUCUGUGCCCGCCGCCUUUGAGCCCAAAAAAUGGCCUUUGGUUGUGGAAUUUCCCGGAUGGAAUUCACCUCAAAAAAAGUGGGUAACAUGGGUUAGAAAGAUGGCUGCUUUGCAUGAAUCCACAUGGAAGAAAGCCGGCAUACAUGAAGCAAUUUUGAGUUCAACGUACGAAAUCAAGAGAAACACUGAUCUGGUUCUUGGCCUUGCGGAGAAAUGGUGUCCCGAGACUAACAGUUUCAUUUUUCCUUGGGGUGAGGCAACUGUUACAUUGGAAGAUGUGAUGGUUUCAGGGUACUCUGUUUUGGGUUCCCCUGUUUUUAGCCCACUUGAAACAGACGAGCUGAAGGCGGUAGAAGAGAAAUUAAGCCAAGUGGAAAAGGAAUACAUCAGAAGUGCAUCUAGGAGAGCAGAGCAUUAUGCGUGGAUGAAUAAAUUCAUGGACAGUGGGAGCGAUAUUGAACACGAGGCAUUUCUUGUCUUGUGGUUAUCAAGGUUUGUUUUUCCUCGCUCCUAUUGUCUAAUUGUCAAAUCUGUGUUUCCUAUUGCUGUACAUCUAGCUAGGGGGACUAGAAUUGCCCUUGCACCGGCUAUUCUUGCUAGCCUUUAUAGAGAUUUAAGUUUGUUGAAAGAGAAGAUUGUUGCCUUAACCAAGUUAGUCGGUUGUGAAGAUGAAUAUAGUGCAUUAAAAAUGAUUAUACGUUCACCGUUUCAGUUCGUCCAGGUUUGGGCAUGGGAGAGAUUUGUAAAAUUGAGACCAAAUCCUAAUUUGAUAAAAAACGGUGAGCCAAGAUUUGCUCUUUGGCACAAAUUAAUGAUCAGAGUUGAGAAUGUGAGGACUGUUUUUGAUUUAUCCCAAGAGUGUUUUGAUUGGCGUCCCUAUGCCAAAACUCUAAAUAACUGGAAGUUGCCUGUGUUUUAUGGAGAAAAGGAAAUGAGGGUAUCGCUUGAUACUCAUUUGUCUCAAGAAUUACAAUCAUUUGCCCGAUGCUUGAGGUUUUCUGAGUUGGUUGGCAUUGACUGUAUAGAGCAGUACCUUCCGCAUAGAGUAGCAAUGCAAUUUGGGAUGGACCAAGACCUUCCAGCUUUUGUUCCGCGGGCAAAUGAUAGUCCUUAUAUAGGAUGGUGUGUUUACAAUAAGCCUAUCAGUUAUGCAGAUUUGUAUGUGCCAUCCCGGCUUUAUGAGGCUGGUGUUACCACCCAAUAUUUGGAGAGUUGGAAGCAAUCACUUUUGGGUCUCCAAGGUGAAAAUGAUGAUGCUUUGGCACAGAAAAGAAUUCUAACAAGUUCUGAGACAGCACAAAAGAGAUCAAAGAAAUUGAAACAAACAAAGAAAAGGAAAUUCGUUGCGAGGACCAAGAUAACGCCAAGGAGAUUGGAUGGAACUAAUGAUUUGGAUAAUUCAUUGGAGACUUCAAAUCAGAAGAGAAGUACCAAUGCCACUAAAAGAGCGAAAAAAUCAGUGUACACUACAGAAGACAAGAAGGAAGAUAGUGAUGCAUAUGCUUCUUCUGAGUUUCCUUUAAAAAUGCUGCCACUGAAGCUAAUAUUAAUGAAAGAAGCUGAUAAUUCCCCAGUUCCUCCUGGUUUUCCUCCCAAAUCUAAUUUAGUUCAAUCAAGAGAUUCAGCUAAAGAAAAUAAUCUAGCCAUUACAGAAUCAAUGGUAUCCAGCAAAAAACAGAAUGAUUUUCAGAAUAUGAAGAUUAGUAAUGGAGAAAAUUCUUCAAGUCAAUCCCAAACUCUUCCCUCCUUAAUUGCAGAUAAAGAGGCUGUUAAAAUUACUGAGCCAGCAGAAAAGGUUAUGCAGAAUGAACCUGCUAAUGGUGGAUCAGAGAAUGUUAGGGAAGAUUUGACUGAGAGUGGAGAAAUGUUUCUUCCUCGUGAUAUGUCAAAGAAUGAGUGCAGCAACGGUGAAGGUAAGAACUUUGUUAGUAUGGUACCUGAUGAGCUCGAAGCUUGGGUUGGUAGGCUUGAGAGGAUUGUUGCAGAACUAAAGGCAGCAAGAUUUGGUCAUAAAAUGCCAGUCUGAGCACAAUCAUGUUUGUCAUUCAGGUAUACGAAAUUGUGUUAGUUCCAGCACUUUAGCCACACAUAUUAGAUUCAGCUUUUACCAAUUUGAAACUGCCUCAUGACUUGUUGAUCUUAGGAAAACAGCAAUUGUACAUCAAAACCUUUACCUCAAGCGAACCUGGUAGCCUUUACUCUUGCUUUCUAUAUGAACACAGAUGUUUCACACGAAGUAACAUGUGAUGCAUGUAAGCCACAUUUAGAAAAUUAUCAAGUUCUCUUCUUAUUGUAUGCGUUAUUGACGAUGAAAAUUGUCAGUUAGACUGCUGUAUGGUUAAAAAUUUCUGACUGUUAUGAGACAUUUGAGUUACUGAUGAUACAUGAUUUUGGCUUUUCUGCAUUUUGAUUUCUGCCUCAGAAACAUCAACAUCUUUUAUAGAAUAAAUUCUAGAAUACAUUAGAGAUACCAUGUCAAUCAUAUAACAAAUAAAUGAUGUUAUAACAUCUGUGUGUUUAUUUUGAAAAACCAUGGUGGUUAUAUCAAAUUCAAAAGUGUAGAUUGUAUGCUUAUGCUGCAUUGAUAACCUGCAGGAUUGUUGCUUCUACAAGAAAUUAAAAAAAAAAGGAAGAAAGAAUUAUUAUUUUUAGUCUAACUAAUUGUUGCCGUAUGUCUAUAGUGAAAGUUCUACAAACAUUAUUAAAUGACUUUGAAAGUAUUGAAACGCAGAACUUGGUGAACUUCAUUUGCUCUUCUUCUGGUUAUGUUUGUUAUUUUCGUUGGUACCUAAUUAGUAAAUCUAACAGGAUAGCUUCCUUAGCAAAUACAUAAAUGUGCCUGGUAAUAAAUUAAAGGGUGUGAACAAUGUGCACACGACAAUAAAUCUUGAAAAACUAAGGCAAGUUAAGAUGAGGAGAGCAUCCUUAAUUUUUUUUUUCAUUGUAUCGGUAAAUAAAUGCAUUAAAAGAACACGAAAAUGGGGGAUAGCUAGUAUUGAGAUAUGUGACUUCACAAUCUCUAAAAAAAAAAAAAAUUAUCUCUAAGAUGACUGUAUAUUAACUAAAUAAUUACAAAUAUAAUAUUAGUGUUUUUUUAUUGGAAUAUUUGAUGCUACCACCCUCAAUACUAUACCAAGAUUUCCAUCAAUAAUCUUGCAGCUCAAAUUUCUGGAUCAAUUGACCAAAAUCUCGUUUAGCACUGCUGGGGUGAGUCAGCUGUUUUUUUAUUUUUUUAUUAGUCAUUUUAAAUAAAAAUUCAUAUACUAAGGUGGCGUUUGUUUUUUAACUUAAUGACUUAAAGUGACUUAACUUAAUUAAUUAAGUUAAUUAGAGGUGUUUGUUUUUAUAACUUAAUGAGACUUUUUAGAUAAUUUUGACUUAAUAAAAUAAGCCAAUUUUUUAGGCUUUUUACUUAAUGGAGAAAUAUGAGUUAAGUCAAUUACUUACUAAUGUCAAAAAUAUCCUUACUUUAUAAUUUAUUUUUUAUGUCUAUCCCAAACUCACCCAUAGACAUUUACCCCACAUAAAAAUAUCCAUGUUUUUUCUUUCUUAUAUUAUAUACGAUAAAAUUUAAAAUUUAUGGUAUUUUAUAUAUUAAAAUUUCAAAAUAAUUAUGUAUUCACUUGAAUAUAGUUUUACUUAUAAAUGUUAAAAUAUUGUGGUAUUUAAUAUAUUAUUUAUUUGACAUUCAAAUUUAAUAAGAAUACAAAUGUAAAAGUACAUAUUUUUAGCUUUUUAAGUUGAAAAAAAAAACAACUUAAUACUUAUUUUUUGAGAUUCAGACAAAAAAACAAACAUAUUAUUCAGAUUUAAACAUUCAGAUCUAUUCAGAAUUCAGACUAAUUCAAGUCUAUUCAGAUUUCAGACAAAAAAACAAACGCCACCUAAGUCUUACAUAAUAAUACCUGCCAAAUACUCAUAAGUUCUUUUUUACGGUUAUGGUUUUUGUGCGGUGAUAAAGUGAGUGUAAAUCAGUUGUAAAAUGGUGCCGUUUUUGGACUCGAAAGGUGACUUGAGACCAACGUUUGAUUUCAUGUUAUAUUGAUAUCUAAAUGUCCUCAAAAGCUUACGGCUAUUAUAUGCACAACAGAUCAGUACAACUGUACCAGUUCAUUUCUUUUCACAGUCUCUCAUCAUACAUUCAAAAUUUUUCAUUAAAAAAUUUCUAAAUUGUGUAAAAUAUUUUACCUCUUUCAAGAACUUUAAAAAUGUAACAUGAAAUUUGAAAACCUUAAUAAAUAAUGUUAAAAUGGAAUCCUAAAAAAAAAGUUUAUCAAAUAAUAGGUGGAUUAAUUUGUUGUAACACACUCACUGUUUUGUUUUUAAUAGAAAAUUCACCCUUUUAAUUUGUUUUUAAAAAUUCACCAUUUUAAGAACUUGCAAAAAUAGGUCGGUGUCUACACUCUCUGAACAUACUACAACACAGCCAAUAGACUGCUACCGCCCAAAGCUUUGUCAGAGACCAAGCAGAGGUGGAAACACAAAAGUGAGAAAACUCAGAAAUCCAUUUAUUCUAAAGCAUUGUUCUUGAUUUUAAAACAAUGGAGGAACCAUUAGAUGACGGUUUUGAAGUGAGAGAAGAGAUGAUGGUUUCAUUAACUGGUGGUGGAAACCCUACGGAGAGAGUAGCCCAUUUUCUCAAACACAACAUAAACUCUAUUCAUGGCCCAGUCUUUGAGCUUCCUUCUCAUUGUCUUAACACAAUACCAAAAACUUUUGCGCCUAGAAAUUGGCCUUUAGAUGUGAAAUUUCAUGGAUGGAGGUUACCCCAAAGAAAGUGGCAAGCAUGGGUUGGCAAGAUGGCAGCUUUGCAUGAAUCUACGUGGAAGAAAGCUGGCAUACAUGAAGCCAUCCUGAACUCCAAGUAUGCAAUACGAAAAAACAAUGAUUUGGUUCUUGGUCUUGCGGAGAAAUGGUGUCCUGAGACCAAAAGUUUCAUUUUCCCAUGGGGUGAAGCAACUAUUACAUUAGAGGAUAUGAUGAUUCCAGGGUACUCUGUGUUGGGUUCCCCUGUUUUUAGGCCUCUCCAAACCGAUGAGUUGAAGGAAAUAGAAAAGAAGUUGAACCAAGUGAGAAAGAAACUCGAUAGGAGUACACAUGGGAAGGCAGAACACAGCGCGUGGAUGAAUGAAUUCAUGGACAGCGGAAGCAAAAUUGAACACGAAGCAUUUCUUGCCUUGUGGUUGUCAAGGUAUGUUUUUCCAUCCUCUUUUUGUAUAAUGGUCAAAUCUAUUUUUCCACUUGCUGUUCAUUUAGCUAGAGGGACUAGAAUUGCACUUGCACCCGCUCUUCUUGCUAGCAUUUAUAGAGAUUUGAAUUUGUUGAAAGAAAAUAUUGUUGCUUUGAUUGAGAUAGACCAUUGGGAGGAUGAUGACAGUAAGCUAUCAGUUACUCUACGGUCACCGUUUCAGUUAGUCCAAAUUUGGGCUUGGGAGAGGUUUAUUGACUUGAGACCAAAGCCUAAUUUGAUCAACAGUGGUGAGCCAAGAUUUGCCCAGUGGCACAAUAAAAUGAGUAGAUUUGAGAAUGUGAGGAGAGUUUUAGAUUCAGCCAAAGAGAAUUUUGAUUGGCGUCCCUAUGCCAAAAUUUUAAGAAACUGGAAGCUGCCUGAGUUUUAUGGAGAAAGGGAAAUGUGGGUUGCUGUUGAUGCUGGUUUGUCUCAAGAAUUAUGGUCAUUGACUCAGAUCUUGAGGGUUUCUGAGCUAGUUGGUCUUGAUUGCGUAGAGCAAUACCAUCCACAUCGAGUAGCAAUGCAAUUCGGAAUGGACCAAGACCUUCCAGCUUUGGUUGACCGAGCCAACAAGACACCGUGUGUAGCAUGGAGUGAUUACUGUAAGCCGAUUAGUUAUGCAAAACUGUAUGUCCCUUCAAGGCUUUAUGAAGCUGAUGUUACAACUCGAUACUUAGACUGGUGGAAGCAAUCGUUGUCGCGUCUACAAGUUGCGAGUAGGGCUGUUCUGCCUCGGCUGCAUAUUUUCAGUACUUCUGAGAUAAAUCCAAAGAGAUCAAAAAGAGUGAAAAGAAGUUUUGCAGGUUCUAGGAGGAUGCUGGAGAGAGUACAAACAAUGAAGAAAAUUGAUAGGUUCUCGUGGCCUAAGAUAACAGCAAAGAGAUAAAAAACAACAAAGAGAAGGAACUUCAUCACAACGGUUAAUGCAAAGCCUAGAAGAUUGGACAAAAUGAAGGAAGGAGAUGGUUCCUUAAUUCAUGCUAGUUUUUCUUGCAAGGGCCUGGAAAAUUCACCAUUACUGACUUUAAAUAUCAAGAAGGAACUCAGCGAUGCAUCUGCUUCUAUUGGUUUCCAUUCACAAAUAUUACCAUUGAGUCUAAGACUAAUGAAAGAAGCAGAUAAUUCUCAUGUUCCUCCCGGCUUUCCUCCCAAAUCUAAUUUAGUCAAAAGGGAUUCAGCUGAGGAAGAUAACCUGGCUAUUAAGGAAUCACUGAAGUUCAGUGAAAAACAGAAUGAUAUCCAAAACACAAGGGAAAUUAUUAUGCAGAAUGAAUCUACUGAUGUUGUCUCAGUGACGGAUACAGAAGAUGUAAAGAGUAGAGCGAGGGACCAUGUAACGGAAGGAAAUGGUGAGAACUAUGCUAGUGAAGUACCGGAGGAUCUUGAAGCUUGGGUUAGCAGGCUUGAGAGGAUCGUUGAAGAGCUAAAAGCAGCAAGAUUUGGUUAUAAAAGGCCAGGCUAAGCAUCGAUUUGAAUAAACUCGUGUUUAACAUGAUACAUGAAAUUGUUUUAAGUUCUAGCAUUUCAGCUAAAAUUCUUGUUCUAAUUAUCAUUUGAAAGAGAAUAGAGUUUAUGACAAUCUUUUUUUAAACCGUACAAAUAUGUAUCAAUGACUUCAAGUGAGCUUUUGUGGUCUAUAGCUCUGCAGCUAGCGAGCUUUGGGGAUUUAGAGCCCUAGUGCAAAUGAGCUUUGGGAAUCUAGAGCUCUGGAGCAAAUACCUUCAAGAAUAAAAUUAGGUAUUGCUUUUUCAAUUGAAAUAGAAAAUGCUAUAUGGUAUUGGGAGUGCAUUCAUUUAAUGAAUUUUUUUUCACAUUUUUUUUAACAAAAAUUUAUCUUACACAAGAGGUGUAGUUGAUUCUAGUACGUCAAAUUCAACUCCCCUUAUAAUCAAAAUGUGGAAGAAUAUUUUCUUCAAAUUUCGGGAGUAAAUUUGGUUUCCUGUCAGAUUUCUGAUCCAUGCCAUAAUAAUUACAUGAUUUCUAAGCAGACAAUGUAUUAAAUAUCGCAAAUAUAGAAGUCGAUGUUAUUACUUUCAAUAAUAUUUAUUUUGCCAAGAUUUGAAGACGAUGAACAUAGCAGCUUAAGAAAAUAAUAAUAUUUAUAGGAUAGCUUAACUAAUUACUAGUCUCCGGAUUUACAUGGGGAUAAGGUGAUGAUUCAGAAGUUCAAAAUAGAGGAUAACUGGGAUACGCUAAGAGGUGACAAAAUGAGUGUCAAAUCACCUGAAAAAGGGUGCGGUUAAUUUGUUGAUUCAGAAGUUGACUUGAGCAGCAUUGUAGGAUUAAAUUGUCAUUUACAAUAUCAACAUUAUCCCUAAAGCUACAAAAUUAAAAAAAGAGAAUACAUGAUACAAAUACGCCCAAAAUAAUAAUUAAUAUAAAAAUGUUCUAAUUCAAGAUUUUAAAUUUGGCAAAGUCUGGGAAAGCUAGUAAAAUGUGUGUAUCUAGUCCAAAUCUUGGAUUCUAUUAAAGUUUGGAAAAACUAUUAAACCAUGCAAUUUAACAGUAUAAUGCCACUACACUUUUAAAUCAAUGGUUUAAUAACUUUCAUUGUCAUUACACUAUUAAAGCUUUUCCAAACUUUAACAAAUACAGGAUCCUAAAUUAGAACAUACACACGCGCGCGCGCGUAUAUAACAAGGAAGAACCUAAGUUCUAAAGGCUUGAGCUGCAAGUUUUCAAUUUGAAUACACAAAAAUAAUCAAAUGGGAACACAAAUCAUAUGUCAUUUAGUUUAUAAACUCGUCCAUUAAAAAAUAUCAUUUUUUAUCUUACCCAGAUACCCAUUUUGUAAUGACUAUAAGACUUUCAUCAUUUCAUUUAGUCCAAAUAUGCGCAUGGGAGAGAUUCAUCGACUUAAGACCAAAACCUAAUUUGAUUAAAUGGGGAGCCAAGAUAACGAGUGGAGUUGAAAAUGUGAGGACAGUUGUGGAUUCAGUAGGACAGAUUUUUUAUUGGCGUCCCCAGAUUAAAACUAUGAAAAAUUGGAAUUUACCCAACUUUUGUGGAAAAAAGGAAAUGUCGGUAACCAUAGAUGCUGAUUCGUCUGAUGAAUUUCAGUCAUUUGCUCGAUGCUUGAGUACCUCCAAGCUAGUUGGUCUUGACUGCAUAGAGUAGGACCUUCCACAUCGGGUAGAAAUGCAAUUUGGAAUGGACCAAGGCCUCCCAGCUUGUGUUGCUCGGGCAAAUGAGAAUCGUCAUAUAUAUUGCAUGGAAUAAUUUCAGUGAGCCUAUAAGUUAUGCUAAUUUGUAUGUUUCAUCUUAGCUCUUUAUGGCUGAUGUUACCAUCCGAUACUUAAAGUGGUGGAACCAAUCAUUAUCCCGUCUGCAGUGCAACUGAUGGGGCUUUGCCACAGAAAUGAAUUCUCACAUGUUAUGGGAUUAAACCAAGCAGAUCAAGAGGAGCAAAAGAAUGAAGAUACACUGCCUUUGAUGGGAAGCCGAAGAGAGCAGAUGCAAUAUGAGGAAAGUUUUAGUCUCCCAUGGUCUAAGCUAACAUCAAAGAGAUCAAACAGAUAAAAAAAAAAAGAACUUCGUUUGGAUUAAUCUAACACCAAGGAAAUUGGAUAGAAUGAAGGAGCCAUACGGUGCCUUAAUUCGUCGUAGCAUAUCUCUGACGAGUAAGGAAAGCUCAGUAGAGAGUUCAAAGCAAAAGAGAGAUGUGCAAAUGUCUCUGUUGCUCUUGGUUUAACUCUGAAGAGAGUAAAAAGAUCGAUGCCGAUUUUGAAAGAAGAGAAGGAAGUUAGUGAUGCUUCUGCUUCUGAAAAGCUACCGCUGAGUCUAGUAGCAAUGAAGGAAUCUGAUAAUUCCCCUGUUUCUCCUGGUUUUCCUUCGAAUUCUAAUUUACUCCAAACAAGGGGUUCAGUUAAGGAAAAUAAUUUAGCAAUUAAAGACUCAUUGAAAUCCAAGAAAAAUAAGAAUGUUGUUCAGAAUACAAAAGUUAGCAAUGAAGAAAACUUGUCAUGCCUAUCUCGAACUUUUUGCAUAUGCAUUUAUGACCAGCAGUAAAACUUGUAAUUUCAGUGACAGUAUUGUUGUUUUAAAUUGCGACACAUCCGGCAAGGCGACAACAGUGACAGCGAGGAUUUCAUAAUCAACCCUUUGCAACAGAUUGUUCAGCCUCUGGUCCAUCUCGGGAAUGUGGAAAUAGGGCAAAAAGCAAACUCCUCAGUCCUCAAUAAAUAUUGUUUGGUAAUGAAAUAAAUUCCCAACUUUAGUGCCUCAAACAAAACUGGAGCGUGAACACAGAAAGAUAUCCGUGUCUGCAUACAACUCUGUUCAAGGACCUUAAAAAUAUAGUAUGAUAGUAUGAUAAUACAAACAAGUUUGUUGGAAACGUGUCUUAGUUGCUUCAGUAACAGAUUUGCUCAAUAAUUGGUCAACAGACCAAGUCUUUAGGAAUAUUUGGUUAGAUAUGACUAGAUAUUAGAAAGAUAUUUUGUUUUCUGUUAUAUUUUCCAGCUUUGUAUAAAAAAGUGUUGCAGUGAAUAAUAGUUGUAUUCCACUAAAAUCUCUCUUCCUUUAGUUACUUUCAAAUAUUUUUCUUUUAUUGUUAUAAAUUUUUUGCCUUGUUCUCUGCAAUAAAUCUACAGAUUGGUGUCAGAGCAUUUUUUUUCUUGAAGGACCUGUGAGUUGUGUGAGUCUAAACAUAAAGCAAAAACACAAUAACCAAAAAACCACAAAUAUAAUUACCUUAAACUGAUUUCUCCCAUAUUACACCACCAAUUUUUUAUAGUGAUAACUAUCAAGUCUGGUCUGUUAAAAUGACAUUCUAUCUGGAAGCAUUAGAUCUUUGGGAAGAUAUAGAGGAAGAUUAUGAUGUGCCACCAUUGCCGGCAAAUCCUACAAUGGCUCAACUUAAGACCCACAAAGAGAGAAAGACCAAGAAGUCAAAAGCUAAAGCUUGCCUAUUCAUUGUUGUUUCAAGCACUAUCUUUACAAGAAUUAUGAAUUUGGAGUCAACGAAGAGUAUAUGGGACUAUACCUCAAUAAGGAAUACCAGGGCAAUGAAAGAACUACAAAUAUGCAGGCACUCAACUUGAUUAGGGAGUUUGAAAUGCUGAAAAUGAAGGAAACAGAAACCAUCAAAGACUACUCUGACAAGCUGCAAAGUAUAGUAAAUACGGUAAGGUUGCUUGGUAAGGACUUCUCUGAUGAACGAAUUGUGCAAACAAUUCUUGUUACUGUGCCUGAAAUAUAUGAGUCUAAAAUUUCUUCACUAGAAGAAUCUAAGGAUUUGUCAAGAAUAUCCUUGGCUGAAUUGGUAAAUGCAUUACAAGCACCAAAGCAAAGGAGAAUGAUGAGAAAAGAAGAAACGAUGGAGGGAGCUCUUCAAGAAAGGCAGAAAGUUCAAGAGUAGGUAAAGACAUGAACAACAAAAAGAAGAAAAAGAUUGGCAACAACAACAAUAGGAACAAGGAUGAGACCUAUCUAGCAUGCCCACACUGCAAAAAGACAAACCAUUCACAAAGGAAGUGUUGGUGGAGGCCUGUGUCAAGUGCAGAAAAUGUGGUAAGAUUGGACACAUGGAGCGGAUUUGUAAGUAUCAACAACCUGAAGAUGCAAAUACUUCUUCGAAGCAACAUGAAAAGGAGCAACUUUUUGUCCCAACAUGCUUCGUGACAAGCAACAGCUCUAACGAUUCCUGGUUGAUUGACAGUGGCUGCACAAACCACAUGACUAAUGACCAAGAGCUCUUCAAAGAACUUGAUAAAACAAUCAUUUCCAAAGUAAAAAUUGGAAAUGGUGAAUUUAUUUCAGCCAAAGGGAAAGGAAAAGUGGCUUUAAAAAGCUUAACAUGUUUGAAGUUAUUACCGAUGUUCUAUAUGUGCCUAAUAUUGACCAGAACCUGCUUAGUGUUGGCCAGCUGAUUAAAAAAGGCUUCAAAGUUAUAUUUGAAGACAAAUGGUGCUUGAUCAAAUACGUGGAAGGUAGAGAUGUAUUCAAGUUGAAGAUGAAAGCAAAAAGCUUUGCUUUAAAUCUAUUGGAGGAGAAGGAGCAAAUAGCAUUUUCAAGCAUUGUAACUAAUGCAGAAUUGUGGCAUAGAAGGCUCAGGCAUUUCCACCGUGAUGGACUUCUAUAUAUGCAUAAACAUAAUUUGGUGAAAGGUGUUCCUUUGCUGGAGGACAAGCUAGCAGAUUGUGUGGCUUGUCAAUAUGGCAAGCAAACUAAAAAAACAUUUCCCUCAAACAACAUGGAAAUCAACACACAAGCUGCAACUUGUACACACAGAUGUUGGAGGACCUCAGAAAACAUCAUCUUUAAAUGGUAGUAAAUAUUACGUUGAAUUUAUUGAUGAUUAUACCAGAUUUUGCUGGAAAUAUAAAGCUUUAGUGGAGAAUCAAAGUGGUUGUAGGAUGCAAAAGAUAAGGUCUGAUAAUGGGAAAGAAUACACAAAUGAAACUUUUGACAAGUUCUGCAAAGAAGCUUGUAUUGAACACCAACUCACAACUCAUUACACACCAUCAUCCCAGAGUCUUAGUAAAAACAACCUAAGGUAAAAAACGCUUAAUUCUUUAAUCUAUGGACAAGUUUGCAUAUCCAUGUGUCAAUCAGUAUGGGUACAAGCAAACAAUUGUCGCCAGAUGUCACAAGAACAAUGACACUUGUCAUCAAAAUAAUUAGGACUCAAGUCAAAUCAACUUCGCUUAUAAAUAUGUCUUCUAUUCUCACUAAAAGGUAAGAAAAACGGACUUAAAAGGGGAAACAUUGACUUUCUUUCUCUAAUGUUUCUCUCUCUAAAUUUACAUAUCGAAAAAAUCUGGUGACUGACUUGACCGUCUGAGGGUUUAUGCCGGCAAAGCAUGCCCUUUGAUCUUUUUCUUGUGCUUAUAGAGUAUCAUUCAGUAAGGACAUUUUCACCUCCUAAUGAAGUAGACCCAGAGGAGACUCAAAGGCCCAUUAAGAUCAAUUCAAAGGGAAAACUCAUCAUCAUUAGAUCCAACUAAGAGAAAUCCCAGUCCUAAAGGGGGGUCGUCUUUGAUUGGAAUUUUUACCUAAUAAGUUGGGAAAAAAAUUACACCAACAGAUACAAAAUUCGUUCUUUUAAUAAUGUCAUACAUAAUGCGUUAUUCAUUUAUUAAUUGAUAUUGUAAUAUUAUCUCGUUAAUGAUAAUAUAAAAGGUCAACUAUUAUUAAACACAUUGUAAUAAUUGGUUUGGUGAGACAACAUUUAUGCAUCGUUACUGUAUUUUGAAUUUAUGAUCUCUAGUUUGCUAAAUUGAAGAUAUUGAUAACAAAAUUAUUUUGAUUUUUUUUUGGGGGUUUGGAAAAUUAUCAUUUUACUACCAAAGUUAUUCUGACCGUGGUUUGCCGAAAAGUACAUUUUAUUACCAAACAUUUGUGCCGUUAUCAAUUCACUACUAUUCCGUUAAAAAAACGUGAAUAUUAUGGUACUGACAUGAUAUGUCAGAAUAACUUUGAUAAUAAAAUGAUAAUAUCCAUGGGGGUUUUAAUUUCAUAAUUGUUGCAAUGGUCUCAAAUUAUAUGGCAAAUAUUGAUGAGGGUGAUAGAAAAAAAAAUAGAAAUAAUCACAAAAAGCACACAUAUGAUAUAUGUAGUUCAAUUUUUUAAUCCACGUUCACGGGCAAAGAAAAAGAAGAAUAUUUUAUUAUGAAAAUGGAGAAUAUAAGAAUUGGAGUACUUAUUUUACAACCCAAAACCUUAGUAUACUCAAGCUCUCGAAUCGCACAAGAACCUUUUAAUUCUCUCAAAUGCUUAGGAAUUACUUCUCAUUAAAUACUCUUAAGUUCUCAAAUUGAUAGAGAACUUCAACCAUACUCCAAUGACUUUAGCUUCAAGAUCCGUCUCUAUUUAUGGGCAAAGUGAACAUUCAAUUAUCAAAUAAUUCGGGACCCAAAUCCACUGAAAUAGCCUACAUUUGAGCUUGAUAAUCUUAACUUUUAUAAGCCACCAAAUGAACACAGUAAUUGCAUGAAUAAUGGAGCCCAACUGAUCUCGCACGCCAUCAUGCAUGAAAUGAAGUCAUGGAGCAUUUAUUGAAUCUUGACUCUUUGCUAUAAAAGUGUGGUAGAAUGGCUAUUUAGCGUAAAAGGUAAAGAAAGUGGACUAAAUUACUAAAGAGCUUGCUGUAAAAUGAGGUCCAGCUGUGUUACGACGGUUGCACCAUGCCACACAUGUCGUCAACCAUUUAGCGUAAAUGUGUUUUCGCCUUAACAUGAAACACAUGUAAAGAAAAUUCAAAUGGAAACAGUUUGGGUCAUCGCAUCACUAGAGUAAAUUAAGCGGGGAUGUGAAUUUGGAAGGAAAAUUCAUGACAUGACUAGGUCGGCUAUGUUUCUUUUUUUUUUUGGGGGGGGGGGGGGGGAACAAAAGUUUCACCUUCACACACGUGUUAGGCCUCCAACUUCCGUUGGAAAAUUUGCAAAACAAUUUCCUUGAAUUUUACCCUUUCUCAUAAGUUCAAAAUUACUUUUUAAUUGCUCUACCAAAAAAAAUUUAACAAGUUGCUUUGAGGCCCCACUUCUGAAAAUGGAGUAAACCCCUAGCCAAUCGUGGA
rnacentral:lncRNA from 1 species